AAACAGCACAAAAAAGUUGUUUGAAUUUUUUUUAAAUAAAUCCUAAAAUAAACUAAAUGAAAUUCUAAGCCAGUAGGAAAAAGAAUCAAAUGAUUUUGGGUUUCCUACUAAAAGAUAUAGCCAGUCAAACCUACUGGUCAAAUCUGUUUUUAGAACAGAAAUAAAAGAAAAUGCUUCGGGCUCUAUACGCUUUCUAACAGAGAAAAUACCAGGGAUGAUUACGCCACUAGGGGCUGGGGCUCACUCACUGACAGACGGGACCUGCUUGUCGGGUUCUCCUUCUACCUCCCGCGCGUGUAGGGGCAGGUACAGAGUCGCACUCCGGCGACGGUUGCCGGCGGCACAGAGCAUCUCCCGCCACGCUACGGCUAUGCACAUGCUCAGGGGGAAGCGCCACAUCCAUUUUUUUCCGGUUGGGGCAGCUGCGGAGCUUGAGGCCGAGCAGUACUUCAACAAUGGCGGAGGGAGUUUCUGUCAACUUGCGGCUCCGGUCUCCAAUGGCUCCUGGCUAAGCUCGACGAUGGGAACGACUUCCUAGGGGUAUGGGCAGGCUAGCAGAGUUCCUGGGGGGAGGAGAGGGGCUCGGGACUGCCGGAAUUUAGCCGCAGGCCGACGACGCCGCUACUGACAAAGAGGCGCACAGGAGACGGCUCGGGCUAAAUUAGGCUAUGGGGAGGGGAGCUACUAGUCUCAGGGGGGUGCUGAGGAGCUUGAAGGCUUCGGGGGUCCCUUUUUUAUAGUCGGAGAACAUCGGUUCCGCGGCGGCCUCCGGAUAAGAUCGACGGUGCCAAAGCUUCAGGCGCACAGGAGUAGCUGCAGGGCGAAGUAGGGGCAGCAGGGCAGCAGCAGCAACAGGGGGAAGCGAGGCAGGGGAGGGGACCGCAGCUUGCUGGCGCUCGGAGGGAGCUUGGGCAGUGCCGUUCUCUGCUGCGGCAGAGAAGAGGCCACGGCCAUCACGCUGCCAUGCACGGGUCGAGGACAGGGACGGCGACCAACUGUCGGGGAGGGGUUGAUGCGGCUCUGCAGCAGGCCAAAAGGGCGAGGGCACGGGGACGCGGCGGCUCGGACAAGCGCGUGCAAAACGUGCGCUCUGGGUGAACCCAAAGCAUGCACAACACCUGCUCGACAAAAUGACUGGCAUGGCUACAGGGCUUAGGAGCUUACAAAAGUCACCAGGGUGGUCUUAGAAGGUAAGGCAAGGCUAGUGGACAUACUGGUUGGGCCAUACCAUCAACUCCGUAAUGAAGAUUCAAAGGCAUGCCAAAUAUGUUCAUGCUCCAAGGUGCUUGACGAAAUGCGAGGGGCUCCAAAUGGUUUUUUAUGCCAACCAAACUUUCCAGAUCAGGGUCUCUCUAAGUGUUGGCCAUGGUGGUAGGCUUAGUUUGGCAAAACUCAAAUCUAGCUAAUGCAAACUUCUUCAAAACACAAUACUGGACAAAAAUUUGGGGCUAUCAUCACAUGUACCUAUUUUCAUCCAAUGGAUCUCAAAUCCUAGAGUUAAGGAUAUGGUAGGGUUGAAAACAAGCAUGCAAAAUUCCAAAGCAAUCAGAGCAAGGGAAAAUAGGGUUGUAGUGCAAAGCANNNNNNNNNACCAGAACAGAAAAAUGGUUGUACUACUCAAAUUUUACAUAGCACAUAGUGGGAUUUUUGCAUAAAAGUGAAUCUUAUGCUAUACUUGACAUCCCCAAAUUUUGUGGAAUUUAUGAAAGAAUAUUUCCAGGGGUUGUAGUACAAACUCAAUUGUGGACCAGAUUAUAAAAACAGUUAUUGUGCUUAAAAUAUUCAAAACACUUGAGUAGGUUUUUGCAUAAAUGUCACCUAGAAACAUCACUGGUCACCUACNNNNNNNNNNNNNNNNNNNNNNNNNNNNNNNNNNNNNNNNNNNNNNNNNNNNNNNNNNNNNNNNNNNNNNNNNNNNNNNNNNNNNNNNNNNNNNNNNNNNCAUUUACAUGUGUGGAUACAUAGACAAAACACCGUCCCUAGCAUGCCUCUAGUUGGCUAGCCAGUUGAUCAAUGAUAGUCAGUGUCUUCUGAUUAUGAACAAGGUGUUGUUGCUUGAUAACUGGAUCACGUCAUUGAGAGAAUCACGUGAUGGACUAGACCCAAACUAAUAGACGUAGCAUGUUGAUCGUGUCAUUUUGUUGCUACUGUUUUCUGCGUGUCAAGUAUUUAUUCCUAUGACCAUGAGAUCAUAUAACUCACUGACACCGGAGGAAUGCUUUGUGUGUAUCAAACGUCGCAACGUAACUGGGUGACUAUAAAGAUGCUCUACAGGUAUCUCCGAAGGUGUUAGUUGAGUUAGUAUGGAUCAAGACUGGGAUUUGUCACUCCGUGUGACGGAGAGGUAUCUCGGGGCCCACUCGGUAAUACAACAUCACACACAAGCCUUGCAAGCAAUGUAACUUAGUGUAAGUUGCGUGAUCUUGUAUUACGGAACGAGUAAAGAGACUUGCCGGUAAACGAGAUUGAAAUAGGUACGCGGAUACUGACGAUCGAAUCUCGGGCAAGUAACAUACCGAAGGACAAAGGGAAUGACAUACGGGAUUAUACGAAUCCUUGGCACUGAGGUUCAAACGAUAAGAUAUUCGUAGAAUAUGUAGGAUCCAAUAUGGGCAUCCAGGUCUCGCUAUUGGAUAUUGACCGAGCAGUCUCUCGGGUCAUGUCUACAUAGUUCUCGAACCCGCAGGGUCUGCACACUUAAGGUUCGACGUUGUUUUAUGCGUAUUUGAGUUAUAUGGUUGGUUACCGAAUGUUGUUCGGAGUCCUGGAUGAGAUCACGGAUGUCACGAGGGUUUCCGGAAUGGUCCGGAAACGAAGAUUGAUAUAUAGGAUGACCUCAUUUGAUUACCGGAAGGUUUUCGGAGUUACCGGGAAUGUACCGGGAAUGACGAAUGGGUUCCGGGAGUUCACCGGGGGGGCAACCCACCCCGGAGAAGCCCAUAGGCCAUAAGGGUGGCGCACCAGCCCUUAGUGGGCUGGUGGGACAGCCCAAAAGGGCCCUAUGCGCCAAGGAUAAGAAAUCAAAGGAAAAAGGAAAAAAAAAGGGAGGAGGUGGGAAGGGAGGGGGACUCCCUCCCACCAAACCUAGUCCAACUCGGUUUGGGGGGGGGAGAGUCCUCCCCCUUGGCUCGGCCGACCCCUUGAGGGUCCUUGGACCCCAAGACAAGGCCCCCCUCCCUCCCACCUAUAUAUACGGAGGUUUUAGGGCUGAUUUGAGACGACUUUCCCACGGCAGCCCGACCAUAUACCUCCACGGUUUUUCCUCUAGAUCGCGUUUCUGCGGAGCUCGGGCGGAGCCCUGCUGAGACAAGGUCAUCACCAACCUCCGGAGCGCCGUCACGCUGCCGGAGAACUCUUCUACCUCUCCGUCUCUCUUGCUAGAUCAAGAAGGCCGAGAUCAUCGUCGAGUUGUACGUGUGCUGAACUCGGAGGUGCCGUCCGUUCGGUACUAGAUCGUGGGACUGAUCGCGGGAUUGUUCGCGGGGCGGAUCGAGGGACGUGAGGACGUUCCACUACAUCAACCGCGUUCUCUAACGCUUCUGCUGUACGGUCUACGAGGGUACGUAGAUCACUCAUCCCCUCUCGUAGAUGGACAUCACCAUGAGAGGUCUUCGUGCGCGUAGGAAAAUUUUUGUUUCCCAUGCGACGUUCCCAACAGUGGCAUCAUGAGCUAGGUUCAUGCGUAGAUGUCUUCUCGAGUAGAACACAAAAGUUUUUGUGGGCGGUGAUGUGCGUUUUGCUGCCCUCCUUAGUCUUUUCUUGAUUCCGCGGUAUUGUUGGAUUGAAGCGGCUUGGACCGACAUUACUCGUACGCUUACGAGAGACUGGUUUCAUCGUUACGAGUAACCCCCUUUGCUCAAAGAUGACUGGCAAGUGUCGGUUUCUCCAACUUUAGUUGAAUCGGAUUUCACCGAGGAGGUCCUUGGAUGAGGUUAAAUAGCAACUCAUAUAUCUCCGUUGUGGUGUUUGCGUAAGUAAGAUGCGAUCCUACUAGAUACCCUUGGUCACCACGUAAAACAUGCAACAACAAAAUUAGAGGACGUCUAACUUGUUUUUGCAGGGUAUGAUUGUGAUGUGAUAUGGCCAACGAUGUGAUGUGAUAUAUUGGAUGUAUGAGAUGAUCAUGUUGUAAUAGAAAUAUCGACUUGCACGUCGAUGGUACGGCAACCGGCAGGAGCCAUAGGGUUGUCUUUAUACUAACGUUUGUGCUUGCAGAUGCGUUUACUAUUUUGCUAGGAUGUAGCUUUAGUAGUAAUAGCAUAAGUAGCACGACAACCCCGAUGGCAACACGUUGAUGGAUGAUCAUGGUGUGGCGCCAGUGACAAGAAGAUCGUGCCGGUGCUUAAGUGAUGGAGAUCAAGAAGCACGUGAAGAUGGCCAUAUCAUGUCACUUAUGAAUUGCAUGUGAUGUUAAUCCUUUUAUGCACCUUAUUUUGCUUAGAACGACGGUAGCAUUAUGAGGUGAUCUCUCACUAAAAUUUCAAGACGAAAUUGUGUUCUCCCCGACUGUGCACCGUUGCUACAGUUCGUCGUUUAGAGACACCACGUGAUGAUCGGGUGUGAUAGACUCAACGUUCACAUACAACGGGUGCAAAACAGUUGCGCACGCGGAACACUCGGGUUAAGCUUGACGAGCCUAGCAUGUGCAUACAUGGCCUCGGAACACAUGAGACCGAAAGGUCGAUCAUGAAUCAUAUAGUUGAUAUGAUUAGCAUAGGGAUGCUUACCACUGAAACUAUACUCGACUCACGUGAUGAUCGGACUUGGGAUAGUGUAAGUGGAUCAUGAACCACUCAAAUGACUAGAGAGAUGUACUUUUUGAGUGGGAGUUUAGCAUAUAAUUUGAUUAAGUUGAACUCUAAUUAUCUUGAACAUAGUCUAAGUCCACUUUGAAUAUAUUUGUGUUGUAGAUCAUGGCUCACGCGACAGUCAUCCUGAAUUUUAAUACGUUCCUAGAGAAAGCAAAGUUGAAAGAUGAUGGAAGCAACUUUGUAGACUGGGCUCGUAAUCUUAAGCUAAUCUUACAAGCUGGGAAGAAGGAUUAUGUCCUUAAUGCUGCUCUUGGAGAUGAACCACCCGCUACGGCUGAUCAGGAUGUUAAGAACGCUUGGCUAGCACGUAAGGAGGACUACUCAAUAGUUCAAUGUGCAGUCUUGUAUGGCUUAGAACCGGGACUUCAACGUCGCUUUGAGCGUCAUGGAGCAUUUGAGAUGUUCCAGGAGUUGGAGUUUAUCUUUCAGAAGAACGCCCGGAUCGAGAGGUAUGAGACCUCCGAUAAAUUCUAUGCUUGCAAGAUGGAGGAAAACUCGUCUGUCAGUGAACAUGUGCUCAAAAUGUCUGGGUACUCAAACCGUCUAGCUAAGCUGGGGAUUGAACUCCCGCAAGAAGCUAUCACUGACAGAAUCCUUCAAUCACUACCGCCAAGCUAUAAAGGCUUUGUGUUGAACUACAACAUGCAAGGGAUGAACAAGUCUCCCGGCGAGUUGUUUGCGAUGCUGAAAGUCGCAGAGUCUGAACUCCGUAAAGAGCAUCAAGUGUUGAUGGUGAGCAAGGCCACUAGUUUCAAGAGAAACGGCAAAGGCAAGAAGGGCAAUUCGAAGAAGAGCGGCAAGCCUGUUGCCAAUCCGCCGAAGAAACCCAAGGCUGGACCUAAGCCUGAAACAGAGUGCUUCUAUUGCAAGGGUAUGGGUCACUGGAAGCGCAAUUGCCCCAAGUAUCUGGCAGAUAAGAAGGCGGGCAAAGAAAAAUCAGGUAUAUUAGAUAUACAUGUUAUUGAUGUGUACUUAACCGGUUCUCGUAGUAGUGCCUGGGUAUUCGAUACCGGUUUUGUUGCUCACAUUUGCAACUCGAAGCAGGAACUGCGGAAUAGACGAAGGCUGGCGAAAGACGAAGUGACAAUGCGUGUAGGAAAUGGUUCCAAGGUUGAUGCAAUCGCCGUCGGCACAGUGUCACUUCAGCUACCAUCGGGAUUGGUGAUGAACUUAAAUCGUUGUUAUUUAGUGUCUGCAUUGAGCAUGAACAUUAUAUCUGGAUCUUGUUUAUUGCGAGAUGGUUACUCUUUUAAGUCUGAGAAUAAUGGUUGUUCUAUUUCUAUGAGUAACAUCUUUUAUGGUCAUGCACCGAAUGUGAGAGGAUUGUUCAUAUUGAAUCUUGAUAGCGAUACACAUAUACAUAACAUUGAGACCAAAAGAGUUAGAGUAAACAAUGAUAGCGCCAUAUUUUUGUGGCACUGCCGCUUGGGUCAUAUUGGUGUAAAGCGCAUGAAGAAACUCCAUGCUGAUGGACUUUUGGAGUCACUUGACUUUGAUUCACUUGAAACGUGCGAACCAUGCCUCAUGGGCAAGAUGACUAAGACUCCGUUCUCCGGAACAAUGGAGCAUGCAAGUGACUUGUUGGAAAUCAUACAUACCGAUGUGUGUGGUCCAAUGAGCGUAGAGGCACGCGGCGGAUAUCGUUAUUUUCUCACCUUCACUGACGAUUUAAGAAGAUAUGGUUAUGUCUACUUGAUGAAGCACAAGUCUGAAACAUUUGAAAAGUUCAAGCAAUUUCAGAGUGAAGUGGAAAAUCAUCGUAACAAGAAGAUCAAGUUCCUACGGUCUGAUCGUGGGGGUGAAUAUCUGAGUUUCGAGUUUGGUGCUCACUUAAGACAAUGUGGAAUUGUUUCGCAGUUAACACCGCCUGGAACACCACAGCGUAAUGGUGUGUCCGAACAUCGUAAUCGUACUUUGUUAGAGAUGGUGCGAUCUAUGAUGUCUCUUACUGAUUUGUCGUUAUCAUUUUGGGGUUAUGCAUUAGAAACAGCUGCAUUCACUUUAAAUAGGGCACCAUCAAAAUCCGUUGAGACGACACCAUACGAACUGUGGUAUGGCUAGAGGCCAAAGUUGUCGUUUCUUAAAGUUUGGGGAUGUGAUGCUUAUGUCAAAAAGCUUCAGCCUGAAAAGCUGGAACCCAAAGCGGAAAAAUGCGUCUUCAUAGGUUACCCGAAAGAGACAGUUGGGUACACCUUCUAUCUCAAAUCCGAGGGCAAAGUGUUUGUUGCUAAAAACGGAGCUUUUCUCGAGAAGGAGUUUCUCUCGAGAGAUUGAGUGGGAGGAAGAUAGAACUUGACGAGGUUGUCGAACCUCUCAUCCCUCUGGAUGGUGGCGCAGGGCAAGAGGAAACCUCUGUCGUUGCGACGCCGGUUGAGGAGGAAGUUAAUGAUGAUGAUCAUGAAACUCCAGUUCAAGUUUCUGUUGAACCGCGCAGGUCGACGAGAUCACGCGCUGCUCCAGAGUGGUACGGUAAUCCCGUCUUAUCAAUCAUGUUGUUGGACAACAAUGAACCUGCAAAUUAUGAAGAAGCAAUGGUGGGCCCAGAUUCCAACAAAUGGCCAGAAGCCAUGAAAUCCGAGAUAGGAUCCAUGUAUGAGAACAAAGUGUGGACUUUGGAGAUACUACCUGAGGGCCGCAAGGCUAUUCAGAACAAAUGGAUCUUUAAGAAGAAGACGGACGCUGACGGUAAUGUGACCGUUUAUAAAGCACGACUUGUGGCAAAGGGUUUUUCACAAGUUCCAGGAGAUGACUACGAUGAGACUUUCUCACCCAUAGCGAUGCUUAAGUCCGUCAGAAUCAUGUUAGCAAUAGCUGCAUUUUUCGAUUAUGAAAUCUGGCAGAUGGAUGUCAAAACGGCGUUCCUUAACGGUUUCCUUAAGGAAGAGUUGUAUAUGAUGCAACCCGAAGGUUUUGUCGAUCCUAAAAAUGCUGACAAGGUGUGCAAGCUCCAGCGAUCCAUUUAUGGACUGGUGCAAGCAUCUCGGAGUUGGAACAAACGCUUUGAUGAGGUGAUCAAAGCAUUUGGGUUUAUACAAGUGGUUGGAGAAUCUUGUAUUUACAAGAAAGUGAGUGGGAGCUCUGUGGCGUUUCUAAUAUUAUAUGUGGAUGACAUAUUACUGAUUGGAAACAACGUAGAGCUUUUGGAGAGCAUAAAAGGUUACUUGAAUAAAAGUUUCUCUAUGAAGGACCUAGGAGAAGCUGCUUACAUUCUAGGCAUUAAGAUCUAUAGGGAUAGAUCAAAACGCCUGAUAGGACUUUCACAAAGCACAUACCUUGAUAAAGUUUUGAAGAGGUUCAAAAUGGAACAGUCCAAGAAAGGGUUCUUGCCAGUUUUACAAGGUACGAGAUUGAGUAAGACUCAGUGCCCAGCAACUGAUGAAGAUAGAGAGCAUAUGCGCUCCGUCCCCUAUGCUUCAGCCAUAGGUUCUAUCAUGUAUGCGAUGUUGUGCACUAGACCGGAUGUUAGCCUGGCCAUAAGUAUGGCAGGGAGGUUCCAGAGUAAUCCAGGAGUGGAUCACUGGACAGCGGUCAAGAAUAUCCUGAAGUACCUGAAAAGGACUAAGGAGAUGUUUCUCGUGUAUGGAGGUGACGAAGAGCUCGCCGUAAAAGGUUACGUCGAUGCAAGCUUUGACACAGAUCCGGACGACUCUAAGUCGCAAACCGGAUACGUAUUUAUUCUUAAUGGGGGUGCAGUAAGCUGGUGCAGUUCCAAGCAAAGCAUCGUAGCAGAUUCUACAUGUGAAUCGGAGUACAUGGCUGCCUCGGAGGCGGCUAAGGAGGGUGUCUGGAUGAAGCAGUUCAUGACGGAUCUUGGAGUGGUGCCAAGCGCACUGAAUCCAAUAACCUUGUUCUGUGACAACACUGGUGCCAUUGCAUUAGCAAAGGAACCACGGUUUCACAAGAAGACCAGACACAUCAAACGACGCUUCAACCUCAUCCGCGACUACGUCGUGGAAGAGGACGUAAAUAUAUGCAAGGUGCACACGGAUCUAAAUGUAUCAGACCCGCUGACUAAACCUCUUCCACGGCCAAAACAUGAUCGACACCAGAACUGUAUGGGUGUUAGAUUUAUUACAAUGUAAUUCACAUGGUGAUGUGAGGGCUGGAUUAUUGACUCUAGUGCAAGUGGGAGACUGUUGGAAUUAUGCCCUAGAGGCCAUAAUAAAUAUAGUUAUUAUUAUAAUUCCUGUAUCAAGAUAAUAGUUUAUUAUCCAUGCUAUAAUUGUAUUGAAUGAAGACUCAUUUACAUGUGUGGAUACAUAGACAAAACACCGUCCCUAGCAUGCCUCUAGUUGGCUAGCCAGUUGAUCAAUGAUAGUCAGUGUCUUCUGAUUAUGAACAAGGUGUUGUUGCUUGAUAACUGGAUCACGUCAUUGGGAGAAUCACGUGAUGGACUAUACCCAAACUAAUAGACGUAGCAUGUUGAUCGUGUCAUUUUGUUGCUACUGUUUUCUGCGUGUCAAGUAUUUAUUCCUAUGACCAUGAGAUCAUAUAACUCACUGACACCGGAGGAAUGCUUUGUGUGUAUCAAACGUCGCAACGUAACCGGGUGACUAUAAAGAUGCUCUACAGGUAUCUUCGAAGGUGUUAGUUGAGUUAGUAUGGAUCAAGACUGGGAUUUGUCACUCCGUGUGACGGAGAGGUAUCUCGGGGCCCACUCGGUAAUACAACAUCACACACAAGCCUUGCAAGCAAUGUAACUUAGUGUAAGUUGCGGGAUCUUGUAUUACGGAACGAGUAAAGAGACUUGCCGGUAAACGAGAUUGAAAUAGGUAUGCGGAUACUGACGAUCGAAUCUCGGGCAAGUAACAUACCGAAGGACAAAGGGAAUGACAUACGGGAUUAUACGAAUCCUUGGCACUGAGGUUCAAACGAUAAGAUUUUCGUAGAAUAUGUAGGAUCCAAUAUGGGCAUCCAGGUCUCGCUAUUGGAUAUUGACCGAGAAGUCUCUCGGGUCAUGUCUACAUAGUUCUCGAACCCGCAGGGUCUGCACACUUAAGGUUCGACGUUGUUUUAUGCGUAUUUGAGUUAUAUGGUUGGUUACCGAAUGUUGUUCGGAGUCCCGGAUGAGAUCACGGACGUCACGAGGGUUUCCGGAAUGGUCCGGAAACGAAGAUUGAUAUAUAGGAUGACCUCAUUUGAUUACCGGAAGGUUUUCGGAGUUACCGGGAAUGUACCGGGAAUGAUGAAUGGGUUCCGGGAGUUCACCGGGGGGGCAACCCACCCCGGAGAAGCCCAUAGGCCAUAAGGGUGGCGCACCAGCCCUUAGUGGGCUGGUGGGACAGCCCAAAAGGGCCCUAUGCGCCAAGGAUAAGAAAUCAAAGGAAAAAGGAAAAAAAAAAGGAGGAGGUGGGAAGGGAGGGGGACUCCCUCCCACCAAACCUAGUCCAACUCGGUUUGGGGGGGGGAGAGUCCUCCCCCUUGGCUCGGCCGACCCCUUGAGGGUCCUUGGACCCCAAGACAAGGCCCCCCUCCCUCCCACCUAUAUAUACGGAGGUUUUAGGGCUGAUUUGAGACGACUUUCCCACGGCAGCCCGACCANNNNNNNNNNNNNNNNNNNNNNNNNNNNNNNNNNNNNNNNNNNNNNNNNNNNNNNNNNNNNNNNNNNNNNNNNNNNNNNNNNNNNNNNNNNNNNNNNNNNUUGUAGACUGGGCUCGUAAUCUUAAGCUAAUCUUACAAGCUGGGAAGAAGGAUUAUGUCCUUAAUGCUGCGCUAGGAGAUGAACCACCCGCUACGGCUGAUCAGGAUGUUAAGAACGCUUGGUUAGCACGUAAGGAGGACUACUCAAUAGUUCAAUGUGCAGUCUUGUAUGGCUUAGAACCGGGACUUCAACGUCGCUUUGAGCGUCAUGGAGCAUUUGAGAUGUUCCAGGAGUUGGAGUUUAUCUUUCAGAAGAACGCCCGGAUCGAGAGGUAUGAGACCUCCGAUAAAUUCUAUGCUUGCAAGAUGGAGGAAAACUCGUCUGUCAGUGAACAUGUGCUCAAAAUGUCUGGGUACUCAAACCGUCUAGCUCACCUGGGGAUUGAACUCCCGCAAGAAGCUAUCACUGACAGAAUCCUUCAAUCACUCCCGCCAAGCUAUAAAGGCUUUGUGUUGAACUACAACAUGCAAGGGAUGAACAAGUCUCCCGGCGAGUUGUUUGCGAUGCUGAAAGUCGCAGAGUCUAAACUCCGUAAAGAGCAUCAAGUGUUGAUGGUGAGCAAGACCACUAGUUUCAAGAGAAACGGCAAAGGCAAGAAGGGAAAUUCGAAGAAGAGCGGCAAGCCUGUUGCCAAUCCGCCGAAGAAACCCAAGGCUGGACCUAAGCCUGAAACAGAGUGCUUCUAUUGCAAGGGUAUGGGUCACUGGAAGCGCAAUUGCCCCAAGUAUCUGGCAGAUAAGAAGGCGGGCAAAGAAAAAUCACGUAUAUUUGAUAUACAUGUUAUUGAUGUGUACUUAACCGGCUCUCGUAGUAGUGCCUGGGUAUUCGAUACCGGUUCUGUUGCUCAUAUUUGCAACUCGAAACAGGAACUGCGGAAUAGACGAAGGCUGGCGAAAGACGAAGUGACGAUGCGCGUAGGAAACGGUUCCAAGGUUGAUGCAAUCGCCGUCGGCACAGUGUCACUUCAGCUACCAUCGGGAUUAGUGAUGAACUUAAAUCAUUGUUAUUUAGUGCCUGCGUUGAGCAUGAACAUUAUAUCUGGAUCUUGUUUAUUGCGAGACGGUUACUCUUUUAAGUCUGAGAAUAAUGGUUGUUCUAUUUCUAUGAGUAACAUCUUUUAUGGUCAUGCACCGAAUGUGAGAGGAUUGUUCAUAUUGAAUCUUGAUAGCGAUACGCAUAUACAUAACAUUGAGACCAAAAGAGUUAGAGUAAACAAUGAUAGCGCCAUAUUUUUGUGGCACUGCCGCUUGGGUCAUAUUGGUGUAAAGCGCAUGAAGAAACUCCAUGCUGAUGGACUUUUGGAGUCACUUGACUUUGAUUCACUUGACACGUGCGAACCAUGCCUCAUGGGCAAGAUGACUAAGACUCCGUUCUGCGGAACAAUGGAGCGUGCAAGUGACUUAUUGCAAAUCAUACAUACCGAUGUGUGUGGUCCAAUGAGUGUGGAAGCACGCGGCGGAUAUCGUUAUUUUCUCACCUUCACUAACGAUUUAAGUAGGUAUGGUUAUGUUUACUUGAUGAAGCACAAGUCUGAAACAUUUGAAAAGUUCAAGCAAUUUCAGAGUGAAGUGGAAAAUCAUCGUAACAAGAAGAUCAAGUUCCUACGGUCUGAUCGUGGGGGUGAAUAUCUGAGUUUCAAGUUUGGUGAUCACUUAAGAAAAUGUGGAAUUGUUUCACAGUUGACACCGCCUGGAACACCACAGCGUAAUGGUGUGUCCGAACGUCGUAAUCGUACUUUGUUAGAGAUGGUGCGAUCUAUGAUGUCUCUUACUGAUUUGCCGUUAUCAUUUUGGGGUUAUGCAUUAGAAACAGCUGCAUUCACUUUAAAUAGGGCACCGUCAAAAUCCGUUGAGACGACACCAUACGAACUGUGGUAUGGCAAAAGGACAAAGUUGUCGUUUCUUAAAGUUUGGGGAUGUGAUGCUUAUGUCAAAAAGCUUCAGCCUGAAAAGCUGGAACCCAAAGCGGAAAAAUGCGUCUUCAUAGGUUACCCAAAAGAGAUAGUUGGGUACACCUUCUAUCUUAAAUCCGAGGGCAAAGUGUUUGUUCCUAAGAACGGAGCUUUUCUCGAGAAGGAGUUUCUCUCGAGAGAAUUGAGUGGGAGGAAGAUAGAACUUGACGAGGUUGUCGAACCUCUCAUCCCUCUGGAUGGUGGCGCAGGGCAAGGGGAAACCUCUGUCGUUGCGAAGCCCGUUGAGGAGGAAGUUAAUGAUGAUGAUCAUGAAACUCCAGUUCAAGUUUAUGUUGAACCACGCAGGUCGACGAGAUCACGCGCUGCUCCAGAGUGGUACGGUAGUCCCGUCUUAUCAAUCAUGUUGUUAGACAACAAUGAACCUGCAAAUUAUGAAGAAGCAAUGGUGGGCCCAGAUUCCAACAAAUGGCUAGAAGCCAUGAAAUCCGAGAUAGGAUCCAUGUAUGAGAACAAAGUGUGGACUUUGGAGAUACUACGUGAGGGCCGCAAGGCUAUUCAGAACAAAUGGAUCUUUAAGAAGAAGACGGACGCUGACGGUAAUAUAACCGUUUAUAAAGCACGACUUGUGGCAAAGGGUUUUUCACAAGUUCCAGGAGUUGACUACGAUGAGACUUUCUCACCCGUAGCGAUGCUUAAGUCCGUCAGAAUCAUGUUAGCAAUAGCUGCAUUUUUUGAUUAUGAAAUCUGGCAGAUGGAUGUCAAAACGGCGUUCCUUAACGGUUUCCUUAAGGAAGAGUUGUAUAUGAUGCAACCCGAAGGUUUUGUCGAUCCUAAAAAUGCUGACAAGGUGUGCAAGCUCCAGCGAUCCAUUUAUGGACUGGUGCAAGCAUCUCAGAGUUGGAACAAACGCUUUGAUGAGGUGAUCAAAGCAUUUGGGUUUAUACAAGUGGUUGGAGAAUCUUGUAUUUACAAGAAAGUGAGUGGGAGCUCUGUGGCGUUUCUAAUAUUAUAUGUGGAUGACAUAUUACUGAUUGGAAACAACGUAGAGCUUUUGGAGAGCAUAAAANNNNNNNNNNNNNNNNNNNNNNNNNNNNNNNNNNNNNNNNNNNNNNNNNNNNNNNNNNNNNNNNNNNNNNNNNNNNNNNNNNNNNNNNNNNNNNNNNNNNAUAGCAUGGAUAAUAAACUAUUAUCUUGAUACAGGAAUUAUAAUAAUAACUAUAUAUUUAUUAUUGCCUCGAGGGCAUAAUUCCAACAGUCUCCCACUUGCACUAGAGUCAAUAAUCUAGCCCUCACAUCACCAUGUGAAUUACAUUGUAAUAAAUCUAACACCCAUACAGUUCUGGUGUCGAUCAUGUUUUGGCCGUGGAAGAGGUUUAGUCAGCGGGUCUGAUACAUUUAGAUCCGUGUGCACCUUGCAUAUAUUUACGUCCUCUUCCACGACGUAGUCGCGGAUGAGGUUGAAGCGUCGUUUGAUGUGUCUGGUCUUCUUGUGAAACCGUGGUUCCUUUGCUAAUGCAAUGGCACCAGUGUUGUCACAGAACAAGGUUAUUGGAUUCAGUGCGCUUGGCACCACUCCAAGAUCCGUCAUGAACUGCUUCAUCCAGACACCCUCCUUAGCCGCCUCCGAGGCAGCCAUGUACUCUGCUUCACAUGUAGAAUCUGCUACGACGCUUUGCUUGGAACUGCACCAGCUUACUGCACCCCCAUUAAGAAUAAAUACGUAUCAGGUCUGCGACUUAGAGUCGUCCGGAUCUGUGUCAAAGCUUGCAUCGACGUAACCUUUUACGGCGAGCUCUUCGUCACCUCCAUAUACGAGAAACAUCUCCUUAGUCCUUUUCAGGUACUUCAGGAUAUUCUUGACCGCUAUCCAGUGAUCCACUCCUGGAUUACUCUGGAACCUACCUGCCAUACUUAUGGCCAGGCUAACAUCCGGUCUAGUGCACAACAUCGCAUACAUGAUAGAACCUAUGGCUGAAGCAUAGGGGACGGAGCGCAUAUGCUCUCUAUCUUCAUCAGUUGCUGGGCACUGAGUCUUACUCAAUCUCGUACCUUGUAAAACUGGCAAGAACCCUUUCUUGGACUGUUCCAUUUUGAACCUUUUCAAAACUUUAUCAAGGUAUGUGCUUUGUGAAAGUCCUAUCAGGCGUUUCGAUCUAUCCCUAUAGAUCUUAAUGACUAGAAUGUAAGCAGCUUCUCCUAGGUCCUUCAUAGAGAAACUUUUAUUCAAGUAACGUUUUAUGCUCUCCAAAAGCUCUACGUUGUUUCCAAUCAGUAAUAUGUCAUCCACAUAUAAUAUUAGAAACGCCACAGAGCUCCCACUCACUUUCUUGUAAAUACAAGAUUCUCCAACCACUUGUAUAAACCCAAAUGCUUUGAUCACCUCAUCAAAGCGUUUGUUCCAACUCUGAGAUGCUUGCACCAGUCCAUAAAUGGAUCGCUGGAGCUUGCACACCUUGUCAGCAUUUUUAGGAUCGACAAAACCUUCGGGUUGCAUCAUAUACAACUCUUCCUUAAGGAAACCGUUAAGGAACGCCGUUUUGACAUCCAUCUGCCAGAUUUCAUAAUCAAAAAAUGCAGCUAUUGCUAACAUGAUUCUGACGGACUUAAGCAUCGCUACGGGUGAGAAAGUCUCAUCGUAGUCAACUCCUGGAACUUGUGAAAAACCCUUUGCCACAAGUCGUGCUUUAUAAACGGUUAUAUUACCGUCAGCGUCCGUCUUCUUCUUAAAGAUCCAUUUGUUCUGAAUAGCCUUGCGGCCCUCANNNNNNNNNNNNNNNNNNNNNNNNNNNNNNNNNNNNNNNNNNNNNNNNNNNNNNNNNNNNNNNNNNNNNNNNNNNNNNNNNNNNNNNNNNNNNNNNNNNNAUGUUACUCAUAGAAAUAGAACAACCAUUAUUCUCAGACUUAAAAGAGUAACCGUCUCGCAAUAAACAAGAUCCAGAUAUAAUGUUCAUGCUCAACGCAGGCACUAAAUAACAAUGAUUUAAGUUCAUCACUAAUCCCGAUGGUAGCUGAAGUGACACUGUGCCGACGGCGAUUGCAUCAACCUUGGAACCGUUUCCUACGUGCAUCGUCACUUCGUCUUUCGCCAGCCUUCGUCUAUUCCGCAGUUCCUGUUUCGAGUUGCAAAUAUGAGCAACAGAACCGGUAUCGAAUACCCAGGCACUACUACGAGAGCCGGUUAAGUACACAUCAAUAACAUGUAUAUCAAAUAUACCUGAUUUUUCUUUGCCCGCCUUCUUAUCUGCCAGAUACUUGGGGCAAUUGCGCUUCCAGUGACCCAUACCCUUGCAAUAGAAGCACUCUGUUUCAGGCUUAGGUCCAGCCNUUGGGUUUCUUCGGCGGAUUGGCAACAGGCUUGCCGCUCUUCUUCGAAUUGCCCUUCUUGCCUUUGCCGUUUCUCUUGAAACUAGUGGUCUUAUUCACCAUCAACACUUGAUGCUCUUUACGGAGUUCAGACUCUGCGACUUUCAACAUCGCAAACAACUCGCCGGGAGACUUGUUCAUCCCUUGCAUGUUGUAGUUCAACACAAAGCCUUUGUAGCUUGGCGGCAGUGAUUGAAGGAUUCUGUCAGUGAUAGCUUCUUGCGGGAGUUCAAUCCCCAGUUCAGCUAGACGGUUUGAGUACCCAGACAUUUUGAGCACAUGUUCACUGACAGACGAGUUUUCCUCCAUCUUGCAAGCAUAGAAUUUAUCGGAGGUCUCAUACCUCUCGAUCCGGGCGUUCUUCUGAAAGAUAAACUCCAACUCCUGGAACAUCUCAAAUGCUCCAUGACGCUCAAAGCGACGUUGAAGUCCCGGUUCUAAGCCAUACAAGACUGCACAUUGAACUAUUGAGUAGUCCUCCUUACGUGCUAACCAAGCGUUCUUAACAUCCUGAUCAGCCGUAGCGGGUGGUUCAUCUCCUAGCGCAGCAUUAAGGACAUAAUCCUUCUUCCCAGCUUGUAAGAUUAGCUUAAGAUUACGAGCCCAGUCUACAAAGUUGCUUCCAUCAUCUUUCAACUUAGCUUUCUCUAGGAACGUAUUAAAAUUCAGGAUGACUGUCGCGUGAGCCAUGAUCUACAACACAAAUAUAUNNNNNNNNNNNNNNNNNNNNNNNNNNNNNNNNNNNNNNNNNNNNNNNNNNNNNNNNNNNNNNNNNNNNNNNNNNNNNNNNNNNNNNNNNNNNNNNNNNNNUCAUUGGGAGAAUCACGUGAUGGACUAGACCCAAACUAAUAGACGUAGCAUGUUGAUCGUGUCAUUUUGUCGCUACUGUUUUCUGCGUGUCAAGUAUUUAUUCCUAUGACCAUGAGAUCAUAUAACUCACUGACACCGGAAGAAUGCUUUGUGUGUAUCAAACGUCGCAACGUAACUGGGUGACUAUAAAGAUGCUCUACAGGUAUCUCCGAAGGUGUUAGUUGAGUUAGUAUGGAUCAAGACUGGGAUUUGUCACUCCGUGUGACGGAGAGGUAUCUCGGGGCCCACUCGGUAAUACAACAUCACACACAAGCCUUGCAAGCAAUGUAACUUAGUGUAAGUUGCGGGAUCUUGUAUUACGGAACGAGUAAAGAGACUUGCCGGUAAACGAGAUUGAAAUAGGUAUGCGGAUACUGACGAUCGAAUCUCGGGUAAGUAACAUACCGAAGGACAAAGGGAAUGACAUACGGGAUUAUACGAAUCCUUGGCACUGAGGUUCAAAUGAUAAGAUCUUCGUAGAAUAUGUAGGAUCCAAUAUGGGCAUCCAGGUCCCGCUGUUGGAUAUUGACCGAGGAGUCUCUCGGGUCAUGUCUACAUAGUUCUCGAACCCGCAGGGUCUGCACACUUAAGGUUCGACGUUGUUUUAUGCAUAGUUGAGUUAUAUGGUUGGUUACCGAUUGUUGUUCGGAGUCCCGGAUGAGAUCACGGACGUCACGAGGGUUUCCGGAAUGGUCCGGAAACGAAGAUUGAUAUAUAGGAUGACCUCAUUUGAUUACCGGAAGGUUUUCGGAGUUACCGGGAAUGACGAAUGGGUUCCGGGGGUUCACCGGGGGGGGCAACCCACCCCGGGGAAGCCCAUAGGCCUUGGGGGAGACACACCAGACCUUAGUGGGCUGGUGGGACAGCCCACAAGUGGUCUAUGCGCCAAGAGAAGAAAAAUCAAGAGGAAAAGAAAAAAAAAAGGGAGGAGGUGGGAAGGGAGGAGGACUCCCUCCCACCAAACCUAGUCCAACUCGGUUUGGGGGGGAGAGUCCUCCCCCUUGGCUCGGCCGACCCCGUUGAGGGUCCUUGGACCCCAAGGCAAGGCCCCCUCCCUCCCACCUAUAUAUAUGGAGGUUUUAGGGCUGAUUUGAGACGACUUUUCCACGGCAGCCCGACCACAUACCUCCACGGUUUUUCCUCUAGAUCGCGUUUCUGCGGAGCUCGGGCGGAGCCCUGCUGAGACAAGGUCAUCACCAACCUCCGGAGCGCCGUCACGCUGCUGGAGAACUCUUCUACCUCUCCAUCUCUCUUGCUGGAUCAAGAAGGCCGAGAUCAUCGUCGAGCUGUACGUGUGCUGAACGCGGAGGUGCCGUCCGUUCGGUACUAGAUCGUGGGACUGAUCGCGGGAUUGUUCGCGGGGCGGAUCGAGGGACGUGAGGACGUUCCACUACAUCAACCGCGUUCUCUAACGCUUCUGCUGUACGGUCUACAAGGGUAUGUAGAUCACUCAUCCCCUCUCGUAGAUGGACAUCACCAUGAUAGGUCUUCGUGCGCGUAGGAAAAUUUUUGUUUCCCAUGCGACGUUCUCCAACAGUGGUAUCAGAGCUAGGUUCAUGCAUAGAUGUCUUCUCGAGUAGAACACAAAAGUUUUUGUGGGCGGUGAUGUGCGUUUUGCUGCCCUCCUUAGUNNNNNNNNNNNNNNNNNNNNNNNNNNNNNNNNNNNNNNNNNNNNNNNNNNNNNNNNNNNNNNNNNNNNNNNNNNNNNNNNNNNNNNNNNNNNNNNNNNNNCUAUAGAAUACUCAAGCUUUAAUAUUUCUUUUCUCACAACCACUUUCAUCCUCGGAUUUAAUCUCCGUUGAUGAUCAACAACUGGCUUAGAACCAGGAUCGGUUUUAAUCUUGUGCCGACAUAGAGUGGGACUAAUACCCUUAAGAUCAUCAAGAGUAUAUCCAAUAGCCUCAUGGUGCUUCCUCAAAGUUUUUAAUAACUUCUUCUCUUCGUGAUUCGAGAGGUGAGCACUAAUAAUAACAGGAUAUAUCUCCUUCUCAUCAAGAUAAGCAUACUUAAGAGUAUCUGGUAACUGUUUUAGCUAGAACACAGGAUCACCCUUUGGUGGAGGAGGAUCCCCAAGCAGUUCAACUGGCACAUUAUUCUUGAGAAUAGGAUAUUGUUCUAAGACAAUUUUAUCUAUCUCAUCUCUUUCCUCCAUAUGCAUAUCAUUUUCAUGCUCUAGAAGAUAUUGCUCUAAAGGAUCCGUAGGAGGUAUGGCAAUAGAGGCAAGAGCAAUGAUUUCAUCCCUACCAGACGACUCUUUUUCAUGGGGUUUUCUUCCAAACUUGGAGAAGUUAAAUUCAUGGGACACACCCUCGAAACUAACAGUGACAGUCUAUUUAAUGCAAUCAAUGUGAGCAUUGACAGUGUUGAGAAAGGGUCUACCAAAUAUGAUGGGACAAAAGCUAUCUUGUGGAGUACCAAGGACGAGGAAAUCAAUAGGAUACUUCGUCUUCCCACACAUGACUUCUACGUCUCUCAAAAUUCCCAGAGGGCAGAUAGUGUCUCUAUUAGCUAGCAUAAUAGUGACAUCAAUGGGUUCUAACUCAGCAGGUGCAAUCUCAUCUUUGAUUUCAUCAUAUAGGGAACGGGGUAUUCCACUAACACUAGCACCCAUAUCACAUAAACCAUGGUAACAGUGAUCUCCUAUCUUGACAGAAACAACGGGCAGGCCAACUACAGGUCCGUAUUUGUCUUUCGCGUGAGGUUUAGCAAUUCUAGCAGAGUCCUCACAGAAUUUGAUAACAUGCCCAUCUAUGUCUUCGGCUAAGAGAUCUUUGAUAAUAGCAACACUAGGUUCGACUCUAAUUUCCUCAGGGGGUGCAAGUGGUCUAAUGUAACCCCUACGUAUCACAGUUGGAGCUUUAGAAUAAUCCUUUAUCCUUGCAGGGUAAGGUGGUUUCUCAGCGUAAGCACAAGGGACAACAGGAUCACUAAAAGCAAUGACUUUCUCCUCAACUAGAUUGGUUUUGGCUAUGUUGCUUUCUACAGGAGGAUGAUAUUUAAACCACUUCUCUUUGGGAAGAUUAACAUGAGCAGCAAAAGAUUCACAUAGAGAAGCUACUAUCUCAGAGUCAAGUCCAUACUUAGCGCUAAAAUCUCUAGAAGUGUUUGUUUCAACAAAAGAUUUAACGCAAUCAAACUGGAAAUUCAUACCUGACUCCUUACCUUCUUCCAACUCCCAAUCUUCAGAGUUACGUUUGAUUCUUUCCAAUAAAUUCCACUUGUGGUCAAUAUCCUUCUCCAUAAAAGAACCGGUACAAGAAGUGUCAAGCAUGGUACGAUCUUCAUGAGAAAGCCGAGCAUAAAAGUUUUGAGUGAUAAUUUCUCUCGAGAGCUCAUGAUUGGGGCAUGAAUAUAGCAUUGAUUUAAGCCUCCCCAAGCUUGAGCUAUGCUUUCCCUGUCACGAGGCCAAAAGUUAUAAAUAUAAUUCCGAUCACGAUGUACUAAAUGCAUAGGAUAGAACUUUUGAUGAAAUUUCAAUUUCAACCGAUUGUAGUCGCAUGAUCCAGUAUCAUCACAUAGCCUAUACCAUGUCAACGCCUUAUCCUUCAAAGAUAAAGGAAAGAAUUUCUUCUUUACCUCAUCCUCAGGCAAACCUGCAAGCUUAAAUAAACCACAAACUUCAUCUACAUAGAUUAGAUGCAAGUCUUGAUGUGAAGAUCCAUCUCUUGUAAAAGGAUUAGCUAGCAAUUUCUCAAGCAUACCCGAAGGGAUUUCAUAAAAGAUAUUUUCAGUAGGUACCUCAGGUUGAGGAACAACUCCUCGUGCUUCCGUUCAUGGUGAAGAUACCCCGAACAAACUCCUCAAAGGAACAGUUUCCAUAGUGACAAGUGACAAUAAAUUUCAGCACAGUAUAUAAAUGUUUCCUUACCAAAUUCGACUUACCAAAGGCGCUUCCUCCCCGGCAACGGCGCCAGAAAAGAGUCUUGAUGACCCACAAGUAUAGGGGAUCAAUCGUAGUCCUUUCGAUAAGUAAGAGUGUCGAACCCAACGAGGAGGAGAAGGCUCUGAUAAACGGUUUUCAGCAAGGUAAUAACUGCAAACACUGAAAGUAGCGGUAACAAGUGAUGGUCUAGUGAGGUGAAACAUAGCAAGUGAAAAGUAACAAGUACAAGUAGUAGAAACGGUGCAGCAAGUGGCCCAAUCCCUUUUGUAGCAAGGGACAAGCCUGAACAAAGUCUUAUAAGAGGAAAAGCGCUCCCGAGGACACAUGGGAAUUUCUGUCAUACUAGUUUCAUCAUGUUCAUAUGAUUUGCGUUCGUUACUUUGAUAGUUUGAUAUGUGGGUGGGCCGGCGCUUGGGUACUGCCCUUACUUGGAAAAUAAUAUCACUUAUGAUUAACCCCUCUCGCAAGCAACUGCAUGUUGGAAUUAUGCCCUAGAGGCAAUAAUAAAUAUAGUUAUUAUUAUAAUUCCUGUAUCAAGAUAAUAGUUUAUUAUCCAUGCUAUAAUUGUAUUGAAUGAAGACUCAUUUACAUGUGUGGAUACAUAGACAAAACACCGUCCCUAGCAUGCCUCUAGUUGGCUAGCCAGUUGAUCAAUGAUAGUCAGUGUCUUCUGAUUAUGAACAAGGUGUUGUUGCUUGAUAACUGGAUCACGUCAUUGAGAGAAUCACGUGAUGGACUAGACCCAAACUAAUAGACGUAGCAUGUUGAUCGUGUCAUUUUGUUGCUACUGUUUUCUGCGUGUCAAGUAUUUAUUCCUAUGACCAUGAGAUCAUAUAACUCACUGACACCGGAGGAAUGCUUUGUGUGUAUCAAACGUCGCAACGUAACUGGGUGACUAUAAAGAUGCUCUACAGGUAUCUCCGAAGGUGUUAGUUGAGUUAGUAUGGAUCAAGACUGGGAUUUGUCACUCCGUGUGACGGAGAGGUAUCUCGGGGCCCACUCGGUAAUACAACAUCACACACAAGCCUUGCAAGCAAUGUAACUUAGUGUNNNNNNNNNNNNNNNNNNNNNNNNNNNNNNNNNNNNNNNNNNNNNNNNNNNNNNNNNNNNNNNNNNNNNNNNNNNNNNNNNNNNNNNNNNNNNNNNNNNNUUAUUGGGCAAUCAAAGAGCUCAACUUUGAUUUCAAACUUGCCGGUGAGAAGAGGUUAUUUGACAUUAGCUCGCUUGAUGAGUGGAGAAUUCAAGCAUAUGAGAAUGCCAAGCUCUUCAAAGAGAAGGUUAAGAGGUGGCAUGAUAAGAGGAUACAAAAGCGUGAGUUCAAUGUAGGUGAUUAUGUCUUACUAUAUAACUCUCGUUUAAGAUUCUUUGCAGGCAAGCUUCUCUCUAAAUGGGAAGGUCCCUAUGGUGUUGAGGAAGUAUAUCGUUCCGGUGCUAUCAAGAUCAACAACACGGAAGGUAAUUGUCCGAGAGUGGUAAAUGGGCAGAGAAUCAAGCAUUAUAUCUCAGGUAUUCCCAUAAAUGUUGAAAGCAAUAUCAUCAAUACCAUAACUCCGGAAGAAUACCUAAGGGAUAUUUCUCAGCCUGUUUCAGAUUCCGAAAACGAAGAGGUAUGUGAUUCGGUAAGAAAACAGAGUCCAAAACUAUUCAAGUAGGAAAUUUUUUGUGUUUUGGAAUAUUUGAAAAAAUACAAAAAUUGGAAGUAGUCCGGAAAGUGCGCGAGGAGGCGACAAGCCUGCACGGCGCGGGCCCACCCCCUGGCCACGCCGUGAGGGCUUGUGGCCACCUCGUGCGCCUCCCGGCCUCCGUUUUCGUGCGGGGGACUCCUUCUGGUUUGAAAAAAUCAUUAUAUAUACUUCCGUUUGGUCUGACCCCUGCAUCACGCAGAUUUCCUCUAUUUUUCGUUUCGAGCCUGUUUUCUGCCGCAGAUCUAGGUCAAGAUAUCUUCUCAAGAGUCUGUGGGGGAGAACAACCUCCGUCAAAUCUAUGGAUAAGUUCAUGCUGAUCUGAAAAGGAUGAAGGUCAUGGAGGCUAAGUAGAGGCUACCUAAAGAAACCAAGGGCAAGGCUAAGGAGAAGGAUUAGGCAUGGGACGAAGUGCAAUCUGUGCUCAACAAGGAAGAAGUUGAAGAAGUGGAUUUCCUCCAACCCUACCUCCACCUACUAUCUCCAUCUUCGAUUGAACUCUUGAGAUCUCCAAAGUAUAAAUCGAAGACUGAUGGCCCUCUUGGAAUCAAAGGUUGCAACAACUCCACCACCACCACCAAAGGAAGACAACUGAGAAUUGGUAUGGGCAAUCCCUUUAGCUUUUGCAAAGCUUGGGGGAGUUGCCCCGGUAUCGUAUCACCAUCACAUCUUUUGCCUUUACCUUUGUUUUAGUUUUCCUUUUCAGUUUUCUUUUUCUCUUGUAGAGUAAAAGUCUUAGUGUUUUAGUCUUGAGUUUAGCUUUGUGUCACCCCCGAUGUAUUCUUGCUUGUGAGCCAUAUAAUAAAGAGUGUCUUAGUUGAAGGGCUUUGCCUCUUGCCAUGAUCAAAAGAGUGAGAAUAGAACAAAAGCAUGAAAGAUCAUGUAAUGAUCUUAUGAGAAGUGAUGGCUUCACAUAUAAAAAGAAUGAGGAUUGAAACUUGUUGAGGGUAGGCAAACGUAGAGCUUGGUCGUUGUUGCAAUUAAUAGGAAGUGAUAAGGAAGGAGAGGUUCACAUAUAAAUAUAUCAUCUCUGACACCAUCUAUGAUUGUGAACACUCACCAAACUAUUGCAUGCCUAGAAGUAGAUGUUGGACAAGGAAGACAACAUAAUGGAUUGUGUUUGCUUGGCUCUGAACAAUGUUAUAUGAUUAGAGAUCCCUUAGCAUGUGACGAUUGCUUCCACCUCAUAUUAGCCAAAACUCCCGCACUAAGUAGAGAUACUACUUGUGCAUCCAAAAACCUUCAACCCAGUUUUUCCAUGAGUGUCCACCAUACCUACCUAUGGAUUGAAUAAGAUCCCUCAAGUAAGUUGUCAUCGGUGCAAGCAAUAAAAAUUUCUCUCUAAUAUGUAUGAUCUAUUAGUGUGUGGAUAAUAAGCUUUAUACGAACAUGUGAUGAGGAAGACAUAAAAGCGACAGACUGCAUAAUAUAAAGUUCUUUAUCAUAGGGGGCAAUACAAAUUGACGUUCCUCCGCACUAAGAGGACACGCAUCCAAACCUCAAAAGCCCAUGACAACCUCUGCUUCCCUCUGCGAAGGGCCUAUCUUGUACCUUUACUUUUUGUCCUUGAAAGAGUCAUGGUGAUCUUCACCAAUUCUUUGUUUCGCCUUUAUCUUGGCUAAUGUCAUAUGCUUGGGAAAGAUCUAUAUUCAUAUGUCAACUUGGAGGUACGCAUUCAUGAAUUAUUAUUGUUGACAUUACCCUUGAUGUAAGCCGUUGGGAGGCAAAACUAUAAGCCCCUAUAUUUCUCUGUGUCCAGCUGAAACAUUGAUCUCAUGAGUACCACGUGAGUUGUAGCAAUUGUAGAGAGCGAAAGAAUGAUUUAGUAUGUGGAUUUUCUUUACAGGCUCUUAUUUGACUCUUUCUGAUGUUGUGAUAAAUUGCAAUUGCUUCAAUGACUAAAGGCUACCGGUUGUUACUUCUCGGUAAGGUUCUUGAUCCAUGCUUUACUUUGUGAAGGAAUUAUCACUUUAGCAUGAGAGAUUAUAUGUUGGUAUUGUUGUUCUGAUCAUGAUCAUGAUGCAUGCAUGUACGUAUCUUGUUUUGUCGACACCUCUCUCCCUAAACAUGUGGACAUAUUUAUUGAGCUUGGCUUUCGCUUGAGGACAAGCGAGGUCUAAGCUUGGGGGAGUUGAUACAUCCAUUUUGCAUCAUGUUUUCAUGUUGAUAUUUAUCACUUCUUUGGCUGUUAUCUCACUUCACGGUACUAUUCUUAUGCCUUUUCUCUCUUAUUUUUCAAGGUUUACAUGAAGAGGGAGAAUACCGGCAACUGGAAUUCUGGCCUGAAAGUGGAGCAAAGUUGAGAUACCUAUUCUGCGCAACUCCAAACGCCGUGAAAAUCAACGGAGAUUUUUUUCCCAAUUAUAAAAAAUAAUGGGCCAAAGAAGUGCUAGAGGGGCACCAGGGGGUGGCCAAAAGCCUGCACGACGUGGCCACCCCCCAGGCCGCGCCAUGGGGGCUUGUGGGCACCCUGCUGGACCACUUUCCCCCCUCUUUUGCUAUAUGGAGGGUUUCGUCCAGGAAAAAUCAGAAGGGAGCUUUUUCGUGGUUUCGCCGCUGCCACGAGGCGGAACUUGAGCAUAACCAAUCUAGAGCUCCGGUAGGACGAUCCUGCCAGGGAAACUUCCCUCUCGGAGGGGGAAAUCAUCGCCAUCGUCAUCACCAACACUCCUCUCAUCGGAGGGGGCUCAUAUCCAUAAACAUCUUCAUCAGCACCCUCCGAUUGGUACUUGUAAGGUUGCUAGUAGUGUUGAUUACUCUUUGUAGUUGAUGCUAGUUGGAUUAUUUGGUCGAAGAGUUUAUGUUCAGAUCCUUGAUGCUACUCAUUACACCUCUGAUCAUGAUUAUGAUUAUGCUUUGUGAGUAGUUACUUUUGUUCCUGAGGACAUGGGAUAAGUCAUGCUAAUAAUAGUCAUGUGAAUUUGGUAUUCGUUCGGUAUUUUGAUAUGUUGUAUGUUGUUUUUCCUCUAGUGGUGUUAUGUGAACAUCGACUACAUAACACUUCACCAUUAUUUGGGCCUAGAGGAAGGCAUUGGGAAGUAGUAAGUAGAUGAUGGGUUGCUAGAGUGACACAAGCUUAAACCCUAGUUUAUGUGUUGCUUCGUAAGGGGCUGAUUUGGAUCCACUAGUUUAAUGCUAUGGUUAGACUUUGUCUUAAUUCUUCUUUCAUAGUUGCGGAUGCUUGCGAGAGGGGUUAAUCAUAAGUGGGAUGCUUGUCCAAGUAAGGGCAGUACCCAAGCGCCGGUCCACCCACAUAUCAAACUAUCAAAGUAACGAACGCGAAUCAUAUGAACAUGAUGAAACUAGCAUGACAGAAAUUCCCGUGUGUCCUCGGGAGCGUUUUUCCUCCUAUAAGACUUUGUUCAGGCUUGUCCCUUGCUACAAAAGGGAUUGGGACACUUUGCUGCACCGUUGCUACUUUUGUUACUUGUUUCUUGCUACGAAUCAUCUCACCACACAAUCACUUGUUGCCGACAAUUUCAGUGCUUGCAGAUUUUUCCUUGCUGAAAACCACUUGUGAGAUCCCUCUGCUCCUCGUUGGGUUCGACACUCUUACUUAUCGAAAGGACUACAAUUGAUCCCCUAUACUUGUGGGUCAUCACAGUGCCACAAAAACAUGGCGCUAUCAUUGUUAACUCUACAUCUUUUGGUCUCAAUGUUAUGUAUAUGUGUGUCAUCACAAUCAAGAUUCAAUAUGAACAAACCCCUCACAUUGGGUGCAUGACCAUAAAAGAUAUUACUCAUAAAAAUAGAACAACCAUUAUUCUCUGACUUAAAUGAGUAACCCUCUCACAAUNNNNNNNNNNNNNNNNNNNNNNNNNNNNNNNNNNNNNNNNNNNNNNNNNNNNNNNNNNNNNNNNNNNNNNNNNNNNNNNNNNNNNNNNNNNNNNNNNNNNCCCGCUCCCAUUUUUCCCGCCAUUUCUCACUACAUAUAUGUAGCCCGGCUUGGCCAGCAUUAUCACAUCUCUACAAUCUCUCAUCACUCUCUCAUGGCUUCCACCGCACCCACUCUAACCUACCAGCAGGUGGAGGAGCUUUGCGCCUCGAACUAUCCUUGUCCACCGGGCUACCGCGUCCCCACCGGCUGGAGCCUAAGCGCCGGCGGCGUGCCGGUCCCUCCCGUCCCUCAGGGAACUGCGCGCCGGGCGGCCAUCACGAACCACUACUACCUCGACCUCACGCCGGAGCAGCGGAUGAAUCCCCGCUGGCAUCCCGAUAACCAGCAUACUUGGGACGCCUUCUUCAUCAAUCGGCGUGAGAGGGCGCUCGCCAGGUAUGAGGAGGACGGUCUGCCUCCUGGGAACUUCCACGAGGCCGGCCGUCGGCUAUGGUGGUACGGCCGGACUCUGCAGAGCGUCAUGGACUACAUCACGGCCGGCGAUAUCCCCCGCCUGCGCUACCCUCAGUUCGAGCCACGAGCGCCGCCCGACGACAGCGACGACAGCAGCGACGACGACGGCGGCAACUUAGAAGGCGACGACUACCAGUACAACGACGACAGCGGCUAUGAAGACUACGAGUAUGCAUAUUAUACGCCUAGGCAGGAGUAUGACUAAAUCACUCCAAAUUUCAUGUAUCAUCAGUGGUAUCUCGAAUCAUUCGAAAAUGGACACCAAACACAUCACGGGUAAUAUAAUUCACAUGAUCCAUUCAACAAAGUUUGGUACAAUAAAUUAUUACACAUCAUUUCUUCCCUUGUGUCCCUGCUUGCUUACGAUUGUGCCGUAUCCAUGGAGCAUCCUCAUCAUUUAACUUAAUGCUUGGGUCGGUGUUCACUUUGAAGGGCAGAAUUUCAGCAAACAUAUUAUAAUCUUCUGACAUGUCUGUCUUGUCCUCCACUCCCACGAUGUUUCUUUUCCCUGAAAGAACAAUGUGGCGCUUUGGAUCAUCGCAUGAUGUACUGAUCGUUUUCUUAUCUUUCCGUUUCCUCGGUUUGCUACUCAUGUCCUUCACAUAGAAAACCUGAGCGACAUCUUUCGCUAGGACGAAUGGUUCGUCAAGGUAACCAAGAUUGUCGAAAUCCACCAUUGUCAUUCCGUAUUGCUGGUCCACCUUUACCCCACCUCCUGUUAGCUUGAACCAUUUGCACCGGAACAAAGGGACCUUAAAGCAGGGUCCAUAGUCAAGUUCCCAUAUCUCCUCUAUGUAACCAUAAUAUGUGACCUCUUGCCCAUUCUCGGUUGCUGCAUCAAAGCGGACACCACUGUUUUGGUUGGUGCUCUUUUUAUCUUGGGCGAUCGUGUAAAAUGUAUUCCCAUUUAUCUCGUACCCUUGGAAAGUCGUUAUAGUCGAAGAUGGUGUCUUGGCCAACAUGUACAGCUGAUCUACAACAUCAUUGUCAUUCAUUAAAUGUUUUCUCAACCAACUGCCGAAAGUCUCCAUGUGGGCCUUCCUAAUCCAGGAUUCAGGCUUCCCCGGGUUGUCCGAGCGUAAAAUAUUCUUGUGUUUCUCAAAGUACGGAGCCACCAAGCUGGAAUUGGUCAGUACAGUGUGGUGUGCUUCAGUCAGAGAAUGGCCGUCCAUACAUAUCGUUGAUUUCCUUCCGAUCGUGCCUUUUCCACUUAGUCUCCCCUCGUGCCGCGAUCGAGGAAGACCAAUCGGCUUAAGGUCAGGAACAAAGUCAACACAAAACUCAAUUACCUCCUCAUUUCCAUAGCCCUUGGCGAUGCUUCCUUCUGGCCUAGCACGGUUACGAACAUAUUUCUUUAAUACUCCCAUGAACCUCUCGAAGGGGAACAUAUUGUGUAGAAAUACAGGACCGAGAACGAAAAUCUCUUCGACUAGGUGAACCAGGAGGUGCGUCAUAAUAUUGAAGAAGGAUGGCGGGAACACCAGCUCGAAACUGACAAGACAUUGGAUCACAUCGUUCUGUAACCGUGGUAGAACUUCUGGAUUGAUUACCUUCUGAGAGAUUGCAUUGAGGAAUGCACAUAGCUUCACAAUGGCUACUCGAACAUUUUGCGGCAGGAGCCCCCUCAAAGCAAUCGGAAGCAAUUGCGUCAUAAUCACGUGGCAGUCGUGAGACUUCAGGUUUUGGAACUUUUUCUCCGCCAUGUUUAUUAUUCCCUUUAUAUUGGACGAGAAUCCAGACGGGACCUUCAUACUGCUCAGGCAUUCAAAAAAGAUGACCUUCUCUUCUUUGGUCAGAGCGUAGCUGGCACGACCUUGAAACCAUUCCGGAUGCCGGUCAUCAGGGUCUUUCAAACGUUGCUGGUCCUGCCGUGCUUCCUUUGUAUCAUUUGUCUUCCCAUACACGCCCAAGAAGCUUAGGAGGUUCACGCAAAUAUUCUUCGUAACGUGCAUCACGUCGAUUGCAGAGCGGACUUCUAGGACUUUCCAAUAUUCUAGCUCCCAGAAUAUAGAUUUCUUCUUCCACAUGGUUGCGUGCCCGUCAGCUCCCUUCGGAACUGAUUGUCCGCCAGGACCCUUUCCAAAGAUGACUUUCAAAUCCUUGACCAUAUCAAAUACCUCAGCACCAGUGCGUUCCGCAGGCUUCGGCCGGUGAUCUGCCUUGCCGUUGUAAUGCUUGCCUUUCUUUCUUACUGGAUGAAUUUUCGGAAGAAAUCGACGAUGCCCAAGGUACACGUUCUUCUUACAAUUUGGCAAAUGUACACUUUCGGUCUCAUGUAAGCAGUGCGUGCAUGCAUUGUAUCCCUUAUUUGACAGUCCCGAAAGGUUACUAAGAGCAGGCCAAUCGUUGAUGGUUACGAAAAGCAACGCUCGUAGGUCAAAUUCCUCUUCUUUGUGCUCAUCCCACACACGGACACCAGGUCUGCCCCACAGCUGUAAAAGUUCAUCAACUAAUGGCCUUAGGUACACAUCGAUGUCGUUGCCGGGUUGCUUCGGACCUUGGAUGAGCACUGGCAUCAUAAUGAACUUCCGCUUCAUGCACAACCAAGGAGGAAGGUUGUAGAUGCAUAGAGUCACGGGCCAGGUGCUAUGGCUGGAGCUCUGCUCGCCAAAAGGAUUCAUGCCAUCUGUACUUAGACCAAAUCUUAUGUUCCUUGCGUCAGCUGCAAAAUCUUUGAACUCUCUGUCGAUCUUUCUCCAUUGCGUUCCAUCUGCGGUGUGUCUCAACUCCCCGUCCGACUUACGGUCCUCUUUGUGCCAUCGCAACAACUUGGCAUGCUCUUUGUUCCUGAACAAACGUUUCAACCGUGGUAUUAUAGGAGCAUACCACAUCACCUUGGCGGGAACCCUCUUCCUGGGUUUCUCGCCCUCAACAUCGUCACCAGGGUCAUCGCCUCUGAUCUUAUAACACAAUGCAGUGCAUACCGGGCAUUCAUUCAAAUUCUCGUAUUCACCGCGGUAGAGGAUGCAGUCGUUGAUGCAUGCAUGUAUCUUCAGAACCUCUAAACCUAGAGGGCAUACAACCUUCUUUGCUUCGUACGUACUGGCGGGCAACUCGUUAUUCUUUGGAAACAUAUUCUUCAACAUUUUCAGCAAGUUUUCAAAUGCCGAGUCAGCUACACCUGCCUGUGCCUUCCAUUUCAGCAAAUCCAGUGUGCAGCCCAGCUUUUUCAGACCAUCAUCGCAUCCGGGGUACAACGACUUUCUGUGAUCCUCUAACAUGAGAUCCAAAUUCUCCCUCUCCUUUUCAGUUUCGCAGCGUCUCCGUGCAUCAGCAAUGGUCCGACCAAGAUCAUCAACGGUCUCAUCACGUGCCUCUUCUUCACCUUCACCUUCCCCUUCACCUUCCCCUUCACCUUCAGCAUCCUCCAUGAAAGUAUCACCGAAAUGAGCAAGAUAGCUUUCAUCCAUGAAAUCAUCCCCUUCUUCAUCUUCUUCCAUUAUAACCCCUCUUUCUCCAUGCUUGGUCCAACAAUUAUAGCUUGGCAUGAAACCGUGCCGAAGCAGGUGCAGGUGAACUUCUCUUGAGGAAGAGUAACCCUUCUGAUUCUUACAGUCAACACAUGGACAGAUAACAAAACCCUUCUGCUUGUUCGCAUUAGCCACUACGAGGAAAUCUUUCAAACCCGUAGUGAACUCGCGGGAGAGUCGGUUACCGUACAUCCAUUGCCGAUUCAUCUGCAUUAUUAUAAUAUAAANAUAUAAUUAACCAUCAUUCAUUUGUUAAACUAACUAGCUAUAAACAAUAGAAAUUAAACAAUGAACAACACACAUGCAUAUUUUAUCAAUGACACACAUGCAUGAAAGGUUCAAGUUGCUAACCGCGAUCGAGGAGGAAAAAAUAAAUGAGGAACCUCAAGUGUGGCUCCAACACUUCAUAUCAUGUUUGUUUCAUGCUCUUGGGGCAUUUCAUCAAACACCUUGUGUGCAUAAGAGGAACCAAAAGCAAACCUACACCCCCUUGUGAAGCUUGUGAAGAGAAGUGGCACCAAAUGGCUAAGUGAGUGUGCUGAACUGGUAUCUAUAGGGGAGGAGAUUUAGUCGCGGUUGGCAUGCCAAACCGCGACUAAAGGCCUUUGGGCACCUUUAGUCGCGGUUGUCCUGGCCAACCGCGACUAAAGCCCCUCACGUGCACCAGCUGGCCACCGAGCGCCCUGGCCCAGGCCUUUGGUCGCGGUUCGUCUGCCGAACCGCGACUAAAGAAAUCAUUAGUCGCGGUUCCUACAGUGUCGCGACUUAUGGGGCUGGACGGAAGCCUCUUUUUCUACCAGUGUAUCAUAGAGUGGAAGGCGGCAGGAUGGGGAGCAGGAGGUCAUGAUCCUUUCGUGAGAGAGUGAUCUCUGUUUUUUGAUUUUGGUGCGGUGGUCACAUCUUCGAUGUCCGCAUCAGAUGAUGUUUCUUUGUAAAUAUUAAAUCUCUGCCUUCUAUAAAUAUAUGGUACGUCAUUGGCGUACUCUCAAAAAAAAAACUUAUUCCACGCAAGGCCCAAAGUAUCCCAACACUAACAUCCCUCACUAAAGUCAUACUGGCCAAAUUGCUCGAAACUGAAAAGUCGUAAUCUUAAUCGUACGUGCCGAGUCAAACAUUACCACCGUGCCACGUAGGGCAAACACGAAAUUUCAGCGUCUGCGUGUUUUCAGCUCUGUUGUUAACCAUGACAAGUCCAACCCCAACCCACCGAGCUAUGGGCUGAAGGUGUAUGGUAAGCCGUGGACCCGUAUCUCUCUAGAACUUUUCUUAGAGAAAUUCCUGAAUGCCCCACUCGUCAGUAGUGGCCGUCGGCUGUCGCAUCAAGAAACAACAAACCCACGACCGUGCCCGGCGAGCUGCUGCCCAGAAUUUUCUUUUCUCGCGAAGGAGAGAUUGGCCCAUAUCAAUUUUGCUUGUACGUAACGGAGAAAGCAACCAGUUGUUAUUGCAAUCGUGACGCCCUCUCCUCCACGGCAAAAUGCAGCAGGCUCGUCCUACAUAUUUAGGACGCUUCUGUUCUCUAGAUGCUCGGCCCAUCAUCAAUCAAAAAAUAGAACGUGAAACGCAGGCUGCGUACGCAGCUGGAGUGAAGCCCGCAAAUGUAGACGCGGUUGGCGUUCACGUACCAAUUCACAACGUCCACGCGCCGACUGCAGUUUGACCAAGCCCUCGUUGGACUUGGACGAAAAGGGUCAGACGCUCACACAGAGAGGUCACGUCAAUCACUAUCCCCCGGCCAUCCAGAGAAGUGAGAACCCUAUAUAAACAGCAGCGAACCAUCGGAAACUUGACAUCGAUCACGGUCACACGACACGAGCUAGUAGCCACAAAGCCAAGGAACUCGAUCGAUCCCUCCCCUCGGCCUCGGGUCAUCAGCAGCGAGCCAUGGCGCGGGUGCUGGCUCUCGGCGCCGCCGCGGCUUUCCUCCUCCUGGCGUCGACCAUGGCGGCCGCGCAGAACUGCGGGUGCGCGGCGACAGAGNNNNNNNNNNNNNNNNNNNNNNNNNNNNNNNNNNNNNNNNNNNNNNNNNNNNNNNNNNNNNNNNNNNNNNNNNNNNNNNNNNNNNNNNNNNNNNNNNNNNGGAGGAGGUGGGAAGGGAGGGGGACUCCCUCCCACCAAACCUAGUCCAACUCGGUUUGGGGGGGGGAGAGUCCUCCCCCUUGGCUCGGCCGACCCCUUGAGGGUCCUUGGACCCCAAGACAAGGCCCCCCUCCCUCCCACCUAUAUAUACGGAGGUUUUAGGGCUGAUUUGAGACGACUUUCCCACGGCAGCCCGACCACAUACCUCCACGGUUUUUCCUCUAGAUCGCGUUUCUGCGGAGCUCGGGCGGAGCCCUGCUGAGACAAGGUCAUCACCAACCUCCGGAGCGCCGUCACGCUGCCGGAGAACUCUUCUACCUCUCCGUCUCUCUUGCUGGAUCAAGAAGGCCGAGAUCAUCGUCGAGCUGUACGUGUGCUGAACGCGGAGGUGCCGUCCGUUCGGUACUAGAUCGUGGGACUGAUCGCGGGAUUGUUUGCGGGGCGGAUCGAGGGACGUGAGGACGUUCCACUACAUCAACCGCGUUCUCUAACGCUUCUGCUGUACGGUCUACGAGGGUACGUAGAUCACUCAUCCCCUCUCGUAGAUGGACAUCACCAUGAUAGGUCUUCGUGCGCGUAGGAAAAUUUUUGUUUCCCAUGCGACGUUCCCAACACCGCAACCACGAAAGAAGAAUUAAGACAAUGUCUAACCAUAGCAUUAAACUAGUGGGUCCAAAUCAGCCCCUUACAAAGCAACGCAUAGACUGGGGUUUAAGCUUCUGUCACUCCAGCAACCCAUCAUCUACUUACUACUCCCCAAUGCCUUCCUCUAGGCCCAAAUAUGGUGAAGUGUUAUGUAGUCGACGUUCACAUAACACCACUAGAGGAAAAGACAACAUACAACAUAUCAAAAUACCGAACGAAUAUCAAACUCACAUGACUAUUAUUAGCAUGACUUAUCCCAUGUCCUCAGGAACAAAAGUAACUACUCACAAAGCAUAAUCAUAAUCAUGAUCAGAGGUGUAAUGAAUAGCAUCAAGGAUCUGAACAUAAACUCUUCCACCAAGUAAUCCAACUAGCAUCAACUACAAAUAGUAAUCAACACUACUAGCAACCUUACAAGUACCAAUUGGAGUCGCGAGAUGGAGAUUGGUUACAAGAGAUGAACUAGGGAUUGGAGAGGAGUUGUGAUGAUCAAGAUGUUGAUGAAGAUGCCUCCCCUCCAACGAGAGGAGUGUUGGUGAUCACGAAGGCGACGAUUUCCCCCUCUGGGAGGGAAGUUUCCUCGGCAGGAUCGUCCUGCUGGAGCUCUAGAUUGGAUUUGCUCAAGUUCCGCCUCAUGGCGGCGGCGAAACCACGAAAAAGCUCCCGAAUGAUUUUUUCUGGAACGAAACCCUUCAUAUAGCAAAAGAGGGGGGCCAGUGGGCCGCCAGGGUGCCCACAAGCCCUGUUGCCGCGGCCAGGGGGGUAGGCCGCGGCAACCAGGCUUAUGGGCCCCUGGUUGCUCCCCUCUGACACUUCUUUCGCCCAGUAUUUUUUAUAAAAUCCAAAAAAAUCCACGUUGAUUUUCAGGACAUUUGGAGUUGCGCAGAAUAGAGCACUCAAACUUGCUCCUUUUCAAGUCCAGAAUUCCAGCUGUCAGUAUUCUCCCUCUUCAAAUAAACCUUGCAAAAUAAGAGAGAAAAGGCAUAAGUAAGGUUCCACAAAGUAUAAUAACAGUCCAAAAAGCGAUAAAUAUCAACAUGAAAGCAUGAUGCAAAAUGGACGUAUCAGGAGCUUCCACUUGAAUUGAUGAAGUACUUUCCUUCACCUCCAUGGGACGAAUCUUGUUGAUAGGUAGAUCCCGGAUGGCUUCCCAAGGUUCCUUAUCUCCUACAUCAUUUGGCAAUUGUUCGACUUGCGAAGCGUUAGAUUCAUCAAACUUCACAUCUACCGUCUCUUCAACUUUUUGAGUGAAGCUGUAGUAGACAUAGUAAGUGUGAGAUUUCGAUCCAUAACCGAGUAGGAAGCCUUCAUGAGAUUUAGGAGCAAAUUUAGCGUGACGAUGCCUAUCAAGAAUGUAACACUUAGAGCCGAAUACUCGAAAGUAUCCAACUUGGGGUUUAUUACCGGUGAGUAGCUCGUAUGCCGUUUUACCGAGAAGCUUGUGUAAGUAGAGUCAGUUUAUGGCAUGGCAAGCUGUUUCCACGGCUUCUGCCCAAAAGUGUCUUGGCGUCUAGUAUUCGUCAAGCAUUGUUCUGGCCAUCUCUAUGGGAGUCUCCUUCUUCCUCUCAACAACUCCAUUUUGGUGAGGUGUGUACGUCGCCGAGAACUCAUAUGAGAUACCUUCUUGAAAUCCGUUCAGUUGUCACUUCGAACCUUCUUGAUCUUUACUUCAAACUGAUUUUGAGCUUUCCCAGCGACGUUCUUCAAGAUCUGUUGUACCUGCGACUUAUCAUCAAGAAAGAAUACCCACGUAAAUCUAGAAAAAUCAUCAACAAUGACUAAACCAUAAGAAUUUCCGUCGAGGCUCUUGUAAGCAUUGGGACCGAAAAGAUCCAUGUGAAGAAGCUCGAGUGGCCUUCUUUUAGUCAUGAUGUUCUUCACGGGAUGACUUCCACCAACUUGCUUUCCUGCUUGACAAGCACUACAAAGUCUAUCUUUGUCAAAGACAACAUCUCUAACACCAAGAAUAUGAUCACCUGUGAUAAGCUUGUCAAGGUUAUGCAUACCUACAUGUCCUAAUUUCUAUGCCAUAACCAACCUUUAGAGGAUUUAGCAAUAAGACAUGUAUGGGGUUUUGAUUUUUUAGUGAAAUCAACAAUGUAUAGAUCACCUCUACGGAAACCAGUAUAGACCAUGUUACGAUUAUCAAGGCGAAACACUUGGCAGACAACUUCCAUAAAUAGCACAUGGAAACCAAAAUAUGCUAGUCUAGAUACGGAAAGAAGAGUGUAACCAAGGGAUUCAACAAGCAUGACAUUUUGAAUGGAACUAUCAUGAGAUAUGGCCACCUUACAAGACCAAGUACCUUACCCUUAGAGUUGUCUCCAAAGGUCACAUACCUUCGAUAUCCAUGGUUUGGUGUGAUCCCAUUAAACAUGUCUUUAUCUCGGGUCAUGUGAUUGGUGCAUCCACUGUCGAGAACCCACUCCUUUCCACCACCAUGUAGUCUCUAAGGUUAGCCAUAAGACUAAGGUUCCUCAUUGUCUUCACAUACUCGAUGUCAAACUCUUCAUCUUCAUCGUAGUAGCCAUGCUCCACAUUGUCAUCUUCGGAUGAAAUACCCUUGUCAUAAGAAACAAGAAUUUCAUGAGAAUUUUGAAUAUGACAAUGUUCAUAUUUAUGCAUGCGAAUGACUUCAAUAAUGACAUUGUUAAUGGUAAUGACAUCUCCUUUGGCACGCAUGAGGUCACAAAGCUCAAAAGGCAUUUAUCAAAAUUAGGGUCAGUUGGCUUCAUUUUGUGAAAGGCAAUGCAUUUAUGGAAAAUGAUCUCAAGAUUUUUUAGUGAAUAAUCGGGAUAUCUUUUCUCUAAGUCUUCCACAAAGUGUGAGCACACUCGAAAUUCUGUAAUUGAUUAAGCACAUUACUUGGCCGUCCUCUAAUGAUUAGAUUUACAGUUUUAAGAUUACCAAGCAUAUCAAGUUCUUCAUCAUCAGAAGGAUGCAAAGGAUCAAUGGGAGGCUCAUAGGGAUAUGUAACAUACUUGCGCAAAUUGAAUUCAUCAAAUAUAUCAAGCAUUUCAUAUUUCCAUUGUCUAAAAUAUUCCCGUCAAGAAUAGGCACUCUACAACUAAUAUUCCCCGAACUAGGCACAUCCAUCUUCCUCCAAUGGUGUUUAAACCAGGGUUUUGGAGAACUUGCUCUGAUACCAAUUGAGAGAUCGAUGGAAGAGGUGUCUAGAGGGGCGUGAAUAGACUACUUGCAUAAUUAAAAUCCUAGCCUUUUCCCAAUUUAAUGGUUGGCAGAUUUUAGCGAUUCUAACAAGUGUAGUGCACCCUACACAUGCUAGUCAACAAAUAUGGUCGCGAAAAAGUAAAGACAUUACACAUGUAGUAAGGAGUAGAGUUCAGGAACAUCAAAUGCAAAUAAGUUGACACGGCGAUUUUUGGCAUGGUUCCGAUAGGUGGCGCUAUCGUACGUCCAUGUUAGUGGAGACUUCAACCCACGGAAGGUAACGGUUGCGAGAUUCCACAGAGGGCUCCACCCACAAGGGUUCCAUGAAGAGGCGACCUUGUCUAUUCCACCACGGAUUCCGUCCACACAGGACUAGCCUCACUAACGGUAGAUCUUCACGAAGUAGGCGAUCUCCUUUCCCUAACAAACAUCUUGGUUCAACUCCACAACACGAAGUAGGAGGCUCCCAAGCGACAAUCAACCAAUCUAGGAGGCACCACCCUCCAAAAGGUAAUAUAUGUGGUAGAACGAUGAACUCCUUGCCCUUGUGCUUCUAAAGAUAGUCCCCUCAACACUCAAUCACUCUCUCUCUCAGAUUUGGCAUGGGUAGGAGAGAUUGAUCUUGUGGAAAGCAACUUGGGGAGGCUACAAAUCAAGGUUUAAAUGGUUGGAAUGGAAUCUCUUGAUCACAACACAUGAGUAGGUGGCUCUCUCUCAGAAAAAUGAAUCGGCAAUGAAGUGUGUGUUAUGAGUGCUUCCUCUUGUAAAGAACCAGUUUCGGGCGCAGGUCAAGGUGCUCAGGAUUGACAAUGGUACAGAGUAUGCGAACAAUAUUUUUGGGGCUUUCAUGCCUAAACAACGGAUUCUUAAUCAAACUUCAUGUCCGGACAUCGCACCUCGGAAUGGAGUGGCUCAAAGGAAGAAUGAUCAUAUUCUUGAGGUUGCUCGGUCGUUAAUGUUUACCAUGAAUGUGGCUAAGUUCUUAUGGGAUGAAUCAGUUAUGAUAGCCACAUACCUGAUCAACUGUACACCUUCCAUGAUGCUAGGUAUGAAAUCUCCAUCUGAGUUGCUCAUUGGAGAUAAUAAGUAUGUUGUUUCCCCAAAGCUGUUUAGUUGUACUUGCUUUAUGUGUGAUCACCGACCAUCUGUUGGAAAGCUUGACCCUCGGGCAAUGAAGUGUGUAUUUCUGGGAUACUCUUCUAGUAAGUAGGGGUACAAAUGUUGGUGUCCCUCCGAAAAAUGGAGGUUUGUGAGUAUGGAUGUUACCUUCACGCAGUCUGAGCCAUUCUAUGGUGUGCUAACUGAUCUCAGUCUGUUGUUUGCAAAGCUUGACCGCCUACAUCAUGUGCAAGAUGGUAAAGAGGGGGAGAAGGAUGUGUCUCAUACUCAGGGUGAUUCUGUGGGCAAUAAAGCUAAUAAUGAUAUGCAAGUUCAGGUCGAAUCAAUAGUGGGAACAAUUCCAGUUAGUACUCUCACUCAUGAUGGUGUGCAGGUUCAUGUUGAGCCAACUGUCGAUACACUUAAGAUUGGUGCUCUUCGGGUCUUGUUCGGGAUCAAUGGCAGACGAACACCCUGGUGUACUCUCGACAAGAACCGCACGUGCAAGGGGAGCAGCAAGGUGGUGAGGCAAGACUGCAAGGGGAGCAGCAAGACAGUGAGGCAAGAGUUCAGGGGGAGCAGCUAGGCAGUGAGACAAGAGUGAAGUGGGAGCAACAAGACAGUGAGACAAGCUCAUCUGACACAGUGGAGCUUCCCAUUACAUUGCGAAAGGCUACAUGUGAAGCGACAAUAAAGGGUUAAGUAGCAAGGAAGGCUCUACCAAAGGGUGAUGCUUGUGAUGAUCUUGAUAUUGGCAAUUUUGUGUCUUAUAAGGCUUUCUCACCCUCAUAUAAGUAGUUUGUUGCCUCCCUUCAAACUAUGUUAGUUCCGAAGGAUUGGAAGGAUGCAAAGCAAGAUCCAAAGUGGCGAGAAGUGAUGAUAGAAGAGUUGGAAGCACUCAGAAAAAACAAGACAUGGGUGCUCACCACAUUGCCGGCACAACAGAAAGCAGUGAGAUGUAAAUGGAUCUAUACAAUGAAGCAGAAUCUUGAAGGGAAGGUGGAACGGUAUAAGGCCAGAUUGGUUGCGAGAGGAUAUAGUCAAACUUAUGGAAUUGACUAUGAUGAGACAUUUGCUCUCGUGGAAAAUAUGAGCACAGUAAGGAUAUUGGUCUUUUGUGCUGCAAACUUUGGGUGGAAGUUGCAUCAAUUAGAUGUCAAGAAUUCCUUUUUGCAUGGUGAGUUUCACGAAGAAGUGUACAUGGAGAUACCACCAGGUUUUGGUACUUCAGAGACUACGGGGAAGGUAUGCACUCUGAAGAAAUCAUUGUGAGAGGGUUACUCAUUUAAGUCAGAGAAUAAUGGUUGUUCUAUUUUUAUGAGUAAUAUCUUUUAUGGUCAUGCACCCAAUGUGAGGGGUUUGUUCAUAUUGAAUCUUGAUUGUGAUGACACACAUAUACAUAACAUUGAGACCAAAAGAUGUAGAGUUAACAAUGAUAGCGCCAUGUUUUUGUGGCACUGUGAUGACCCACAAGUAUAGGGGAUCAAUUGUAGUCCUUUCGAUAAGUAAGAGUGUCGAACCCAACGAGGAGCAGAGGGAUCUCACAAGUGGUUUUCAGCAAGGAAAAAUCUGCAAGCACUGAAAUUGUCGGCAACAAGUGAUUGUGUGGUGAGAUGAUUCGUAGCAAGAAACAAGUAACAAAAGUAGCAACGGUGCAGCAAAGUGUCCCAAUCCCUUUUGUAGCAAGGGACAAGCCUGAACAAAGUCUUAUAGGAGGAAAAACGCUCCCGAGGACACACGGGAAUUUCUGUCAUGCUAGUUUCAUCAUGUUCAUAUGAUUCGCGUUCGUUACUUUGAUAGUUUGAUAUGUGGGUGGACCGGCGCUUGGGUACUGCCCUUACUUGGACAAGCAUCCCACUUAUGAUUAACCCCUCUCGCAAGCAUCCGCAACUAUGAAAGAAGAAUUAAGACAAAGUCUAACCAUAGCAUUAAACUAGUGGAUCCAAAUCAGCCCCUUACGAAGCNNNNNNNNNNNNNNNNNNNNNNNNNNNNNNNNNNNNNNNNNNNNNNNNNNNNNNNNNNNNNNNNNNNNNNNNNNNNNNNNNNNNNNNNNNNNNNNNNNNNCCUCCAACCGCGCCCCUGCGCUGCGUCCGCCACCGCUCCCCACUGUGCCCCGGCCAGCGCAUGGGCCUUCCCCUCUCCUCGGCGGCUGCUACUGAUGCUGCCGGUCAUGGCCAAAGCCAUGGUCAAGGCAACCCAGCACGCGCGCGUGUGAGUGUGUGGCCGGUGCCACUACCAGGUGGGUCGGCCCUUGUUUAGAUUCAGACUACUUUAGUUUAGGACUAAUUAAAAUACUUUAGUUAAUUAGCCCGUGCACUAAUUGGUGGCACCACCUAAUUAACCUAAUAAUUAAAUUCUGUCUCUUAUACACAUCUCCGAGCCCACNUUUAAAGUUAAUGACCCACUCAUGCGUGGGGCCCUCUUAGUUAAUUAGAUGUUUUAAUUAAAUCAAACAACCCUGUAUUUAUGACAGAUGGGCCCCACAGGUUAGUCUGACCAUUGAGGAGUCAUGUUGACUGCUGACAUCAUAGUGAGGUCAUACUGAUGUCAUUUUAGUAUUUUCUAAUUGAACAAAUAUGUUAAUUCCUAAAAAAUAAUAAAACUUUAAAAAUUAAUAUAAAAUAAUCUGUAGUCAAUGAAAAUAAUUUAUAUAUGAAAGUUGAUCAGAAAAAUCACAAAAUCUGAAUACGCUAUCCUUUCAUUUGUCACAUGCUCCUAGCAUGAUGAACAUAGAACUUUCCUCCCCGAUUUAUCCUUGUGGUAGUAGCCACAAACCGAAGAUAUAUCGUCAACUAUUUUCCCGCUCCAUCCAUUACGUGUAAUACUGUGUUAGCUCAUACCUAGCGUCGCAUAUAGCCAUGUCAUGCUUUGUGAUGCAAUUGAUUGCUCUAUUAUUUAUAAUGUUUCACCUAUAUUACUUCCUUUCCGGUAGACCCCAAGACCGAUGAUGAUCCGGUGAUUGACUUCUUCCUGGUCGAGGAUCCGUUUUUGUCUGUAGAGCAACCAGGCAAGCAAACCCCCCUUGAUCAUUCCUAUAUCGCCUAUUAUUUCUUCCUCAUGCUUGUAUUAGAUUUUUCUACUGUUGUAGAUAGCUCCUAUUCUGAUGCAUAACCUGUUUUUGAUGAACUGCUACUUUAUUUUACUGCACUUUAAACUGUUUAGUAUAGGUGGAGCAGUGAUCACCAUUUACCCCUUAGUCCAGUUGCCCGCUUUAUCACCAAAUCUCGAUCUACUGAUCGACGAGCCAAGACCCUUCACAUCACUCACACCCCCUAAGUCGUACGACGCUGCAGAGCUACUAUCAAGUACCGAGGGUGACACCUCAUUACGUACUCCGAUGUUAGCGUUGUAGUGUAGUUGACUGGCGAUGGUUCUCGGAAGGUGAUUCCUCCUUCACCACCUUCGAUAACGACUCUGUCGUACAACCCAUCAAACGUGGUCCAUUGAGGGUGAUUCCUCCCUAGCCACCUUGAUGGUUACAUCAUUCAGAAUCCAUCGAUGGUGAUACCUCGGAUCCCUCUGAUGUUACAGGCGCACAAUUACUUGACCUUGCUACUGGGAAAAUGAUGAGGUGUGUUGCGGGUGGAUUCCCGCGUAAAUGUGACGGGGCGUGGCCGGGCAUUCUAGGCCCUUGCCACACAUCCUAUAGACGGGGUGAUGGGACCACAUAUCGUGGAUUGCUGAUUGUCGCUGCAGUGUUAAUGCAAAUGCUAAAGAGAUUUGGGUAUUUGAUGUGAGUUGGUCGGGAGACCUUUUCGCGCUAACCUUCACCUGUGAUAAGUUAUGGGUACUCGACGUCGUGGUAUCAGCUGAAUCUCUUCAGACGUCAGCAACGGAGCUACGCGUGCCCGAGUGGCCGAUAUAAGCAUCGUUCUUGUAUAAGAGGUGCCAUGACUGACAUUGGACGCCCUUGCAUCAUGCAGGAGCGCAAAGGGUGAUAGGCACAUGACCCCUACGCACUUAGGAUUUAGACCAUCGAGCUAGCCCCCCUAUUGAGCCUAGGUAGGGUUGCGACGUGUUGAUGUUCUGAGGCCGGGCAUGACCCAUGAAAGUGUGUCCGGCUUGUUUAUCAAGCGUGUUCGGUACUGUGGUGCACCCUGCAGGGAUGAAAAUUAACUAUUCGAAUAGCCAUGUCCAUGGUUACAGGACAACUUGGAGUUGUGCCCUGAUCUUAUACAACUUUAAAUGUUACUUAACUGGAAUGUUUGCUCCGGGAUUGCUUUCUCGCAGGGAGUCGAGGAACGAUCUUUGGGCAUGACCUUAAUUAAUAAUGCACAACAAUAGGACUAUAUAUUUGUGUUGCUUGCUCUACUCUCGUCUAUUGCUGUAAGACGUUGAAGAUGCUAGUCUUCGAUAGGACUAGUCUCCUCUCUCUAUUCUCGCAUUGCUGCAGUCAGUCCACGUAUAACCCCAUUCCUUUAAUACUGAUGCAUACUUAGUAUAGUUCUGAUGUUAGUCUUGCGAGUACUUUGGAUGAGUACUCAUUGUUGCCUUGCUCCCCUUUCGCCCCUUGAUACAAUUGUUUCGUCCAGAUGAUGGAGCCCAGGAGAUGGCGUAUCCCGCCGACCACGUCUGCUACCCCGACGAUGUCUACUACUACGUGGAGGCCACUAACGACCAGGAGUAGUUUAGGAGGUUCCUAGGUAGGAGACCUCGCCUCGUUCAAUCAAUGUAUCUUUUGUGCUAGCCUUCUCUAAGGCAUUUCCUUAUUUUAUGUCUGUACUCAGAUAUUUGUUGCUUCCGCUGACUCAUGUGUUUCUCGAGCUUCUAUAUUCUAGCCCUCGAGGCCCCUGACUUGUAAUAUGAAGUGUGUAUGCUUUUAUUUGUGUCUAGAGUUGUGUUGUGAUAUCUUCCCGUGGGUCCUUGAUCUUGAUCGUACGCAUUUGCGUGUACGAUUAGUGUACGGUCAAAUCAAGGGCGUCACAGGCGGCAUGUGUGGCAUGUGCGACAUGGCUACCAUGGGAGGCAUGUGUGGCUUCGGAGCUACCAUAGGCGGCAUGGGAGCAUGGGUGGCUUCGGAGCUACAAUGGGGGGCGUGGGAGGCAUGGGUGGCUUCGGAGCUACAAUGGGGGGCAUGAAAGGCAUGGGUAGCUUCAGAGAUACCAUGGGGGCCUGGGAGGCAUGAGUUGUGCGACUCUCAUGGGAGGCAUGAGAGCACCUCCAGGUGACAUGGGUGGACGCAUGUCUUCCGGUGUGCCUCACAUACCUUUGCAUGAUGCCGUUGAAGAUCUUGUCAACACCUUUCGAGCUCCCCAUGAUGAUGCAGUGCGGGACAAUGAAGAGGAGGAGAAAGAAACGUCUUCGGAUGAGGAAGAAGAAUCGGAGGGCGAAGGCGAGGAUGUGACAUGAUUGUUGAUGUGCCAUUUGUUUGUGUGAACUCUUAUGUCAUGAACUUGGAUGGGUGAUUUUGAACAUGGUUGGAUGAUGAUGUGAUGUGGCAUGAUUUCGAACUUUUAUGUCAUGAUGAACUUGGUUGGGUGAUUUUAAACUAUGCAAUGUCUUGUUUUGAUGUUUGAAAUAUCACUAUAUUGUCAAAAUGAACAUAUUGCAAGCACUGACUGCUCGUGCGCGCUGUAGUUUAGCGUGCAUGCUGGAGCGGCUCGUGCACGCUAUUUUUUGUCGCGGCCGCUGGAGCGAACGUUCUCCGGCACGCUAAAAAUCACUAUUUCAGCAUGCCAAAUUGUUUUUAACGCGCGGGGCGAUUGCGCGGCUAUUGGAGAUGCUCUUAGUAACUAAAGGAACAAGGUGCAGCAAAGUAGCCCAAUCCUUAUAUUGCUAAGGGCAUGGCAGGAGUAAUUUUUAUAAUAAGAAAAGCAUUCUCGAGGACACAUGCGAAUUUUGUCUAGUCAUGAUCAUCAUGUUUUAGUUGAUUCGCAUUCACUGCUUUGAUAAAUUAUAAUGUGGGUGGAUCGGUGCUAAGGUGUCGUUCUUACGUGAACAAACAACCUACUUAUGAUUAUCCCCCUCUUGCAAGCAUUCGCAACUACGAAAAAAGAAGUAUGAUAAAUCUAAACAUAGCUUGACCCCAUAUGGAUCCAAAUCAUCCUUGUACAGAAUAGCGCAUAAACUUGAGUUUAAACUUUUGCCACUCUUGCAAUGCAUCAUCUACUUGCUGCUCCAUAAUGCUUUCCCCUAGGCCCAAAGAUGAUGAAGUGUCAUGUAGUUGACGUUCACAAGACACUACUAGAGGAAGCACAACAUAAAUUUCAUCAAAAUAUUAAACGAAUACCAACUUCACAUGAUAAUUUAUAACGAGACUUCUCCCAUGUCCCCCAAAACAAUUGAAACUAGUCACAAAUCACAUUCAUGUUCAUGAUUAGAGAACAUAAAUAUAUGAUUAAAAAUCUGAAUAUACGAUCUUCCAUCAAGUAAACUAACUAGCACCAACUACAAUAUGUAAUCAACACUGCUACCAACUCAAACGUACCAAUCUAAGGUUUUGGGACAAACAUUGAUUGCAAGAGAAGAGCUAGGGUUUGAGAUAAGAUGGUCCUCGUGAAGAUGUUGACGGAGAUGAGUCCUCCAACGAUGAGAUAAACGUUGUUGAUGACGAAGACUUCGAUUUCCCCCUCAUGGAGUGAAGUGUCCCCGAUGAAAUUGCUCCACCAAAGGGCAAAAGUGCUCAUGUCCACGUUUCGCGGGAAGUCUAUCACAUAUUGUUUCUACGGAAAAUGGCCUCAUAUAGCAAAAGACGGACACUGGUGGGUCGUCAUGGGCUUCACAAGGUUGGAGGGCGUUCCGCAAAGUUUUUUUCUUUCUAUUAUAUUUUAUUUAUUCCAAAAUAAUUUUUUAGAAUUUUCAAGUCAUCUGGAGAUUGAGAGAAUAGCUAUCUCUGUUGUCGCUUUUUUGUCCAGAAUUCAAGUUGCCCAUCAUUUUCCUCUUCAAAUAAAUCUUGCAAAAUAAAAAAAGGCAUAAAAUUGCAUCAUAAUGAUAAAAAUAUUGUAAAUAACAGUAGAAAAUCAUAAUGCAAAAUGGACGUAACACGCAGUCGCUCACACAUGAAGCCAUUAGCAUCAUCAGUACUACCCCAUUAUGUACCCCUCCUACGGCACUCUAUAUAAGCUCGGAGGAGAGCUUCAAGCCAAGGGUUGAACAUCUACAUUGUACAUUACACCAGGAGCUAAGAGCACCACAUUUGUAGGCUAUUACCCCCACACCACAUGAGUAGGCUUUACCUUCAUCGUAAAGCAUCCGAACAUGUAUAAUUCUUUGAGCGUACUCCCACCUACAUCGUUUCGUAGAUAUGAUUGCCUCUAUAUUCCUAUCUUUCCAGUAUUGUCACGAUCUUAUCCACGAUAUCUCACCUUGUCGAGCGAGGAACGACGCAACCGACUUAAAUAACUGCAUCGUCCAAAACGGUAAGUUUCGAUCAUCUUUGCAUCAUUUUUCAAAGGAUAUGGACUGUCACUAUGAAUCUUCCAUAUCCCUCACAAAGCGAGCAUUGAUGGCUGUUCGACUCCUUUUUUAAGUUCAAUCAUUUUUUGUUCGUUGUCCGAAUUUGCAAGGGUACAAUGAUGGCCCUACUCUUUGUUUAAGUCUGGUGGUGGCAUCCGAUGACGAUGGUCUUGAGCAGCAAGGAGGAUGGACGAAUAAGGAUGAAUUGGUGCGGACGCUAGCGGUCAGUUCGACGUGGUGGACACAUAGAGGCAUCCCAGAUCCGCCUUAGAUUUAGUUUGAUAUGAAGAUUGUUGGUCAGUCCGGACGUUUUCAUAUCCAUUUCAGAUUUGGGUUUGAUAUAAAGAGUGUCGAUCAGUCCGAGCAUUUGGGUUGGUUGUGGGGAGCCUGGUUGGGUGUUAUGUUUUCGUUGAGUCAAUGGUCGGACAACCCACCGAGUCGUUUGGGGCUAAUAUGGGGUGUAGUUGUAGAGAUGCUCUAAUGAUAUGUAUAAUAAAUGUGUCAUCUUUAUAAAGUGGGAUAGUGAUAAGUGCCACACGCACAUGGCAACUCCGACUGUCUUUUAAGGCAAUUUUUAUGACGCGAGGAUGGCAAUUUUAAUUAACUUGCAUGGCAAAUUACGUGUUAUAAUUAUUUUUGAUAGAAAUCUACCAUGUGUUACUAGAAUUUGCCGUCCUUGUUUGACCAAAAUUAUCAUUUAGCAAAAUGUAUAAUAUCAAAUCCGAAAGCAGUCAUUUCCUGAAUAUGUUUGUCCGAAUCAGAUGCACGCACAUAUGCCACAACCAAGAAGAAGUCCACGCGAUGUCCUGAAUAAUAGUGAGCUUAGCAGGUGAGGCUGGUCCCCGGGUCGACGCCGAACUGCUGGCAGAACUGCUUGUAGUAGGCGACGCGAUCGUUGACGGCGGUGGGGUUCUUGCCGUUGCACUCGAGCGCGCCGUUGAUGGCCCUGAUGGUGGCGCCGAAUCCCUGGCCGGAGACGAUGACGUCGUGCACGCUGUUCAUCCAGUACCAGAGCGCCGCUUGGAACGCCAAGACGGGGCUCCGCGCCACCGCGUCCGGGUCGUUGAGCCCGUCGAAUCCCAGGCUCUGCCCUGCAGCUCCGUAGUUGUAGUUCCACGAGAUUUGCAGCGGACCGCGGCCGUAGUAGCCCUUCCCGGCGACGCACGGCCACUCCGUGUUCGUCGGGUCGCAGUAGUUCUUGCUCGGCCCGUUGAUCUCGUCGAUGUAGCAGAACUCUGCAAUUCAUUUCGUAGUACAAGCUCAUCAUGGUCAGCACGUUGCUCAUCAGGACUACAUAUGUACUCACUCUGUAAAUUAAUAUAAGAGUGUUUAGAUCACUAACAUAGUGAUCUAAACGCUCUUCUAUUAGUUUAAGGGUGUAAUAUAAACGUGGUGAACUAACUACCGGAGUAGUGCAAUCGGCGUGCGUGGUGAGCUUACUUAUGGUCUCGUGGUUGACGUGGGCGAAGAAGGCGGCGAUCUCGCGCUUGGAGUCGUCGUCGGAGCCAGUGCGUCCGAAGGCGGGGUACCCGCCGAGCGCCGUGAGGAAGGCGUCGCGGGUGUAGAAGCCCUUGGCGGCGCAGUCGUCGGCGGCCUGGGAGACGAGCGCGCCGAAGAAGGCCGGCGUGACGAUGGCGGGCACGGACACGUUGUUGGNNNNNNNNNNNNNNNNNNNNNNNNNNNNNNNNNNNNNNNNNNNNNNNNNNNNNNNNNNNNNNNNNNNNNNNNNNNNNNNNNNNNNNNNNNNNNNNNNNNNAUUGGGCCCUCCGUUCAAAAACAAUGCUGGCUGGUGCUGGAUGAAUAGGGCCGCGAGCCCAUUUUUCGCUAAGAACGCAUUUUUAGGUGUAAAAAUGGCUCAGAAAUUCGAUUUUAGGGCUAUUUUUUCACGUCUAGGAUGUGCUUAACAUGCUAUCUUAAUGCACAUGCUUCUAUUAUAUGCUUUUGUUGUUGUAGAUUAAUUGUUGCUUACUUUUAACCGCAAUGUAAUGCAUAUUUUAGCAUGUUAUAAAUAUUGGAAUGUCACAUUGAUGAAUAAAAUGUAUCAUCAUCGCUUUUUUGUCAUGGAUUACCUGAUGUAACCCCUUUAUAAUUAUUGAUGGUCGGAACCAAUAAACCGAGAGUCCAUCGAGUUGGCAUAUACGGGGUUCUACUACCCCACCGAGCAUUUGACGUGGAGAUCAUCCAGUUGGAAAUAUGCCCUAGAGGCAAUAAUAAAAUAGUUAUUAUUAUACUUCUUGUUUCAAGAUAAUCAUUUAUUAUGCAUGCUAGAAUCGUAUAGAAUGGAAACACAAAUACAUGUGUGGAUACAUAGACAAAACAUUGUCCCUAGUAAGCCUCUAGUUGACUGGCUCAUUGAUCGAAGAUGGUUAAGGUUUCCUAGCCAUAGACAAGUGUUGUUACUUGAUUACAGGAUCGCAUCAUUAGGAGAAUGAUGUGAUGGACAAGAAACAAACCAUGAACGCAGCAUAUGAUUGUGUUAUUUUAUUGCUACUGUUUUUUGCAUGUCAAGUAUAUAUUCGGGGUCAUGUAACUUACUGACACCAGAGGAAUGCCUUGCGUGUACCAAACGUCGCAACGUAACUGGGUGACUAUAAAGGUGCUCUAUAGGUAUCUAUGAAGGUGUCCUUAAGUUAGCAUGGAUAAAGACUGGGAUUUGUCACUUUGUAUGACAGAAAGGUAUCUCAGGGCCCACUCAGUAAUACAACAUCACAAACAAGCCUUGCAAGCAAUGUGACUAAAGAGUUAGCCACAAGAUUUUGUAUUACGGAAUGAGUAAAGAGGCUUGCCGGUAACUAGAUUGAAAUAGGUAUAGGGAUACCGACGAUCGAAUCUCGGGCAAGUAGCAUACCGAAGGACAAAGGGAAUGUUGUACGGGAUUAACUGAAUCCUUGACAUAGAGGUUCAACCGAUAAAGAUCUUUGUAGAAUAUGUAGGAUCAAAUAUGGACAUCUACGACCCACUAUUGGAUAUUGACCGGAGAGUGUCUUGGUCAUGUCUACAUAGUUCUCGAACCCGCAGGGUGUGCACACUUAAGGUUCGGUGACGUUUCAGUAUAGUUAAAUUAUUGAUGUUGGUAAAUGAAUGUUGUUCGGAGUCCCGGAUGAGAUGCCAGAUGUCACGAGGGUUUCUGGAAUAGUCUGGAGACGAAGAUUGAUAUAUAUGAAGUGUCUAUUUGGCUUCCGGAAAGUUUUCGGGCAUUAUUCGUAAAUUAUUGGGAGUGAUGAAUGGGUUCUGGACUUCCACCGUGAGGGGCCACCCACCCGGGAGGGAACCAACCAGGCCCAAGGGUGGCGCACCAGUGGGCUGUUGGCCAGCCCAAGGAGGCCUAUUCCUCCGAAGGGAAGAAGGAAAGGAGGGUGGGGCCAAAUCGAAUUGGGGAAGGGGACUCCUCCUCCAAACCGUAUUGGAGGAGGACUCCUCCUCCUCUCCUUGCGCCGGCCGAACUAUAGGGUUUGUCUCUAGGGCGCCACCCCUCCUCUCCCUCCUAUAUAAAGUGGAGGUGAGGGAGAAUUUUUGCACCUAAAGCCACGGGGCAACCCUCUCUCCCUGCACCACUUCGUGUUACCCCGUAGCUAGUUAGGUAUGGUACGGCGAAGCCCUGCCAGAGUAGCUCCACCACAUAACCGCCACACCGUCGUGCUGCUGGAGAAUUCAACUACCUCUUUGUCUCUAUUGUUAGAUCAAGAAGGCAGAGAUUGUCAUCGAGCUGCACGUGUACUGAACGCGUAGGUGCCGUCCGUUCGGCGCUAGAUCGGGACGGAGUUCGUGGGAUGGCUUGUGAUUUGGAUCGCAAAGACGCUCGACUACAUCAACCGCGUUUCUUAACGCUUUCCGCUUAGCAUUCUAGAAUGGUAUGUGGAUCCGAUCUCCCCUCUCGUAGAUGAUCAUUACCAUGGAUAGGUCUUGCGUGUGAGUAGGAAUUUUUUUGUUUCCCAUGCAACGUUCCCCAACACAUCCUCGGGUACGAGUGACUUUAGAUGGCGAUAGGCUUGUGGACCCAGAUGGUCUUCGCCACUCCAAGGGUGAAUGCGCGGAAAGUUAUGGGCUAGAGUACCCAACCUUGUCAUUCAACGUAGAGGUCAUCCUUGAUUCUUAAUGACUCGGGGCGAUAUGCUUGGAGACCGAGAUGGUCCCAACCACUCCUAUGGUGAAUGCCCAUUGCUACACUUUCUUGAAACUCCACCUCCAUGGUAACCAUGCGUAAUGUGUACAUGACAACACAAAGUGCCCUAGCCUUUUUAGACCACUCUCACAAAGUGGUUUGAGAGGUUGGAGCACAUUGUUUGUCCCCAUAGAGAGGAGGAGUAGAACCAUUGUAGUGCAACCACUUGGGUCUGUCUACAUUGUCCAGAGGGAUCACCAUCGGGUACCAUGGCGGCACCUUAUAGGUACCCACGGUAGAGACAUUGGCAUCCCCCUCGACUCUAUGUUGAUGUUAUCCUGGCAAAGUUUCUCCUAUGUGGAGAUACUUAGCUGACUUGACAUCUAUGCUAGAGUGAAUGCCUCUCUCAUUUACUCGCUUGGCUUCCUGUUUGUUUAUAGUUCCUUGGUUAUAUUGAUACAUUCAUCCCCGAUGGGUUGUACUCUAUUGGAGCAAAAACCUUGUUCAUCAUUUGGCGGUUAGAUGGUGUUCGCAUUCAUCCAUUUAUUCCUUUUGUUUAUUUAUAGCUUGUUAUGUUCUAAAAAUGUGCAUUUAUUAUUGAUGUAGUUUCUUCCUCGCUACAUUAUAUGAAUUAGAUGUCAUAUUUUAGAAUGCGUGUGGCGCCCGGAUGGAGGAAACGUGCCUUGCCGAGAGCGCCACUACACAUACCAUUUUACGAGAAACUAAGUAGUUUUAGUCUAUUAAAAAAUCUCCAAGAAGUAUUAUGACAAUCGUCGGCUACAGUUCAAACAUAGUUGGCUCCGGACGAGCUACUAUCAUAUUUCCAAUGGGAACAACUUUGAUCAUUCAUGAUGCGUUGUUGUACCCAGAGUCGACUCAUACCCUUUUGAGCUUUAAAGACAUCCGCGCUAACGGUUUCUAUAUUGAGACUGAUGAUGACAACGGCAAGGAGUGCCUCCUCAUCACAAAGCGGGAUGCAAAUGGUAAACAUGUUAUCGAAAGGCUUCCUUCGUUCGACACAGGGCUAUACUUUACCAAGAUAGUAGCACCGCCCGUGUACACUACCCUUAAGACUGUUUUUAGAAGCUCCGAACUUUUCUUCCUCUCGCAUGAUAGGUUAGGCCACCCUGUACUUAGGAUGAUAGGAAAUAUAAUUAACAACUCACAUGGUCAUAAUGUUAACGUGAAAAACAUCCUGAAUCCCGAUGAUUUUGUAUGCUCCGCAUGCACAACGGGGAAGUUAGUCAUCAGGCCAUCGCCUCUCAAGGUGAGGGACGAAAUCCCCACAUUCUUGUAACGUAUCCAAGGGGACAUAAGCGGUCCAAUUCGGCCCCUCACGGGGCCGUUUAGGUACUUCAUGGUGCUCAUUGAUGCUUCCUCUAAAUGGUCCAAUGUUUGCCUGUUGUCAACACGGAACCAUGCCUUUCCAAAGAUGAUCUCUCAAAUCAUACAAAUGAGGAGUAAUUUCCCUGAUCAUCGUAUAAAGUCUAUUCUAAUGGACAACACCGGAGAAUUUACUUCGAAGGCGUUCGAUGUUUAUAGCAUGGCAAUGAGAAUCAAAGUUGAGCACUUGAUACCGCAUGUUCAUACACAAAAUGGACUUGCCAAGGCAUUGAUUAAAAGAAUUAUAUUCAUUGCCUAACCGCUCCUUCAGGGUUGUAAUUUAACAACUACAUGUUGGGGCCACGCAGUGUUACACGCUGCCAAUUUCAUCAGCUUUAGCCCGUCGGCCAACAACAUCCACUCUCAUGUUUAGCUUGCGCAAGGGUCGCCACCAAAAAUUUCCCACCUUCGUAGGUUCGGUUGCCAGGUGUAUGUACCAAUACCACCACCCCAGCGAUUAGCAAUGGGCCUGCUUUGUAAGUCAGAGAUACACGUUGGUUAUGAGACUUUGUCCAUAAUUAGGUAUGUGGACCCCGUGACAGGUGACUGUCACACGGCUGGUUUUGCUGAUUGCAUUUUUGACAAGGAUUUUUUCCCAACUUUAGGGGGAGAGAAUCAACCCCUUGAUGCUAAAAGUCGAGAAAUCAUGUGGCAUGCCACGGGAAUCCACGCUCAUGACCCGCGCAGUGCUGAGAGUGAGAGAGAAGUCCAAAAGAUAAUAGAUUUGCAGUCAUUAGCAAAUCAAGUGCCUCACCAUUUUAGUGACUUAAAGACCGUGACAAAAUCGCAUGUGCAUGCGUGCAAUGCACCGGAAAGGGUUGAAAUACUAAGGAAAAAUGAUGGUAUACCCGCUCCUGUCCAAAGGCCUAAAAGGACGAGCGAUCCGGCUUCUCAAAUCCCAAGUACUUGGGGACGCCUAACAAAAAAGGAUAAGAGAGAUUUUUUACAGCCUGUCACCAAAGUGCCCCAAAGUGAAACGGGGAGCCAGUCGAGACCUGGCACAAGUACGGAAAAUUUAGUGCACGAAAUUCUGGACUUAAACUUUCCCAUAGGGGAAACACCCAACGGAGAUGUGUGCGCACACAUCGGCGCAGGAAAUCUAAAGGACCUUGCUCCCGGGAUGGGAAAUUUGGUAGAUCAAGUGUUAGCGGCAAAUGCGCUCCAUGACGAAAUGGCCAUAGAUUAUAUUUAUACGGGGGAGUCUGUAAACCGAGCAACAUUGCUUGUCGACAUUAACUUUGCUACGAAAAUUGCCUCAAUCAUAGAUCUUGACCUUGAGCCUAAAACGCCGCCGAUUGCAAGAAAAGGUUGGAUUGGAAAGAAUGGCAGAAGGCAAUUACUGUCGAAUUAUUAUCUCUCAACAAAAGGAAGGUGUUCAGACAAGUUUGUCGAACUCCUCCCCACAUUCGCCCUAUUGGCCAUAGGUGGGUUUCUGUUCAAAAGAGAGAUGAAAAUAAUAAGAUAGUACGGUACAAAGCAAGGCUCGUUGCUCAAGGGUUCACUCAAUGACCUGGUGUCGAUUUUGAGGAGACCUAUUCCAUGAUCAUGGAUGGAGUUACCUUUAGAUACUUGAUCUCAAUGGAAGUGAACAUGGGCUUGAAAAUGAAAUUAAUGGAUGUUGUCACUUCUUACCUGUAUGGUAACUUGGAUUCAAAGAUAUACAUGAAGGUUCCUGAAGGUAUCCCUGUUCCGAACCAUGAUAGAGCAAACAGGAGUCUAUAGAGUGUUCAACUUCAAAAGCCAUUGUACGGACUUAGACAGUCUGGUAGAAUGUGGUAUAAUCGCCUAGGCGAUUUCCUUCAUCAGAAGGUCUACAUGAGCAAUAAAGAUUGCCCAUGUGUUUUUAUACGGCGAUUCCAUGAUGGAUUCUGUAUAAUCUCGAUGUACGUGGACGAUCUAAACUAAUCGGUACACCUGAGGAUAUUGAGGAAGCGAGUUCCUACCUGAUGCCAGAAUUCGAGAUGAAGGAUUUGGGUAAAACAAAGUUCUGUCUAGGCCUGCAACUUGAACAUUCCCCUGAUGGGAUUCUAGUGCACCAAUCGGCCUACGCCGAGAAGGUGUUGGAAAUGUUUGGAUUUAAUAAGGCAUAUCCUUCUAAGACCCUGAUGGUCGGGAUAUCUUACAGCCAAACAAGGACCCGUUUAGGCCUAAGUAAGAGGGGGAGGAAACUCUGGCACCAGAGGUUCCUUACCUGAGUGCAGUUGGAGCACUCAUGUACCUUGAAAAUUGUACAUGGCUAGACAUUGCUUUCGCCCUCAAUUUUCUCGCUAGGUACAGUUAUGAACCUACCAAGAGACAUUGGAAAGAUAUCAAGGACGUCUUCCGUUACCUGCAAGGGACCAAAUAUCUUGGCCUAUUUUAUAAAAGGAAUCAAGACAUAUCUCUUAUAGGCUAUGCCGAUGCUGGGUAUCUGUCGGCCCCGCAUGAUUGCAAAUCACAGACUGGAUAUGUUUUCCUUUGUGGUGGAAUGACGUUCUCCUGGAGAUCAACCAAGCAAACACUUGUGUCGACCUCCAUGAACCACUCGAAAAUCAUAACACUAUUAGAAGCAUCAAAGGAAUGUGUAUCGCUUCGGCGGAUGAUCAACCACAUUCAGCAAACGUGUGGGCUGAAUACCGUAUAAACCCCUACCAUUAUCUAUGAAAAUAAUGCUGCCUUGAUGCACAAGUUCGGAUGGGUUAUGUGAAGAGUAAACUCACAAAGCAUAUUGAUGACGAGUUGAUGGAUAUACUUCUCGCCCCUCGUUGGUUAACCCAAGUGGAAGGUGGAGAUGUAGUCAGCAGCAAAUUUCCCUUAGAUGGAGACUGUAAGGUUUAUCGAACCAGGUUGUCUUCCACCCUGGACCUGCACACACAACAAAUAACUUUGCUCCCAACGAGUACAGAGAGGUUGUCAAUCUCUCUGGCCUUGUAGCUUGCAAAGGAUGAAAACACAAGCGGGAAGGGAAUAGUGAUUGCAACGGAAAAGUAAAUGAAAGCAGAAAAUGAUGGAGGUGUAAACAAUGAUGGUGAUAUGGACCGGAGUCACAUGAUGUUCACUAGUGAUGUCUCUCUCCCAAAAGACGAUAAACAACUAUGCUAGGGUAAACAAAUCACAGUUAGGCAAUUGAAAGAAUUAUGAUCGCACCGCAAUGCUAAUUAUGCUCCUUGACAGUUAGAGGUUCCAUAGUACUGGGCAGUACACCAAGACAAGUAGACCGUUUAUUCAUCAGCAUCUACUUACUGUUGGAAUUAUACCCUAGAGGCAAUAAUAAAAGUAUAGUUAUUAUUAUAAUUCCUGUAUCAAGAUAAUAGUUUAUUAUCCAUGCUAUAAUUGUAUUGAAUGAAGACUCAUUUACAUGUGUGGAUACAUAGACAAAACACCGUCCCUAGCAUGCCUCUAGUUGGCUAGCCAGUUGAUCAAUGAUAGUCAGUGUCUUCUGAUUAUGAACAAGGUGUUGUUGCUUGAUAACUGGAUCACGUCAUUGGGAGAAUCACGUGAUGGACUAGACCCAAACUAAUAGACGUAGCAUGUUGAUCGUGUCAUUUUGUUGCUACUGUUUUUUGCGUGUCAAGUAUUUAUUCCUAUGACCAUGAGAUCAUAUAACUUACUGACACCGGAGGAAUGCUUUGUGUGUAUCAAACGUUGCAACGUAACUGGGUGACUAUAAAGAUGCUCUACAGGUAUCUCCGAAGGUGUUAGUUGAGUUAGUAUGGAUCAAGACUGGGAUUUGUCACUCCGUGUGACGGAGAGGUAUCUCGGGGCCCACUCGGUAAUGCAACAUCACACACAAGCCUUGCAGGCAAUGUAACUUAGUGUAAGUUGCGGGAUCUUGUAUUACGGAACGAGUAAAGAGACUUGCCGGUAAACGAGAUUGAAAUGCGCCAAGAGAAGAAAAAUCAAGAGGAAAGAAAAAAAAAGGAAGGAGGUGGGAAGGGAGGGGGACUCCUCCCACCAAACCAAGUCCAACUCGGUUUGGGGGGGGGAGUCCUCCCCCCCUUGGCUCGGCCGACUCCAUGGGGGUCCUUGGACCCCAAGGCAAGGCCCCCCUCCCUCCUCCUAUAUAUUUGGAGCAAUUAGGGCUGAUUUGAUACGACUUUCUCACGGCUGCCCGACCACAUACCUCCACGGUUUUUCCUCUAGAUCGUGUUUCUGCGGAGCUCGGGCGGAGCCCUGCUGAGACAAGGUCAUCACCAACCUCCGGAGCGCCAUCACGCUGCCGGAGAACUCUUCUACCUCUCCGUCUCUCUUGCUGGAUCAAGAAGGCCGAGAUCAUCGUCGAGCUGUACGUGUGGUGAACGCGGAGGUGCCGUCCGUUCGGUACUAGAUCGUGGGACUGAUCGCGGGAUUGUUCGCGGGGCGGAUUGAGGGACGUGAGGACGUUCCACUACAUCAACCGCGUUCUAUAACGCUUAUGCUGUACGGUCUACAAGGGUACGUAGAUCACUCAUCACCUCUCAUAGAUGGACAUCACCAUGAUAGGUCUUCGUGCGCGUAGGAAAAUUUUUGUUUCCCUUGCGACGUUCCCCAUCAGUGGCAUCAUGAGCUAGGUUCAUGCGUAGAUGUCUUCUCGAGUAGAACACAAAAGGUUUUGUGGGCGGUGAUGUGCGCUUUUCUGCCCUCCUUAGUCUUUUCUUGAUUCCGCGGUAUUGUUGGAUUGAAGCGGCUUGGACCGACAUUACUCGUACGCUUACGAGAGACUGGUUUCAUCGUUACGAGUAACCCCCUUUGCUCAAAGAUGACUGGCAAGUGACAGUUUCUCCAACUUUAGUUGAAUUGGAUUUGACCGAGGAGGUCCUUGGAUGAGGUUAAAUAGCAACUCAUAUAUCUCCGUUGUGGUGUUUGCGUAAGUAAGAUGCGAUCCUACUAGAUACCCUUGGUCACCACGUAAAACAUGCAACAACAAAAUUAGAGGACGUCUGACUUGUUUUUGUAGGGUAUGAAUGUGAUGUGAUAUGGCCAACAAUGUGAUGUGAUAUAUUGGAUGUAUGAGAUGAUCAUGUUGUAAUAGAAAUAUCGACUUGCAUGUCGAUGGUACGGCAACCGGCAGGAGCCAUAGGGUUGUCUUUAUACUAACGUUUGUGCUUGCAGAUGCGUUUACUAUUUUGCUAGGAUGUAGCUUUAGUAGUAAUAGCAUAAGUAGCACGACAACCCCGAUGGAAACACGUUGAUGGAUGAUCAUGGUGUGGCGCCGGUGACAAGAAGAUCGUGCCGNGUGCUUAAGUGAUGGAGAUCAAGAAGCACGUGAAGAUGGCCAUAUCAUGUCACUUAUGAAUUGCAUGUGAUGUUAAUCCUUUUAUGCACCUUAUUUUGCUUAGAACGACGGUAGCAUUAUGAGGUGAUCUCUCACUAAAAUUUCAAGACGAAAUUGUGUUCUCCCCGACUGUGCACCGUUGCUACAGUUCGUCGUUUCGAGACACCACGUGAUGAUCGGGUGUGAUAGACUCAACGUUCACAUACAACGGGUGCAAAACAGUUGCGCACGCGGAACACUCAAGUUAAGCUUGACGAGCCUAGCAUGUGCAGACAUGGCCUCGGAACACAUGAGACCGAAAGGUCGAUCGUGNNNNNNNNNNNNNNNNNNNNNNNNNNNNNNNNNNNNNNNNNNNNNNNNNNNNNNNNNNNNNNNNNNNNNNNNNNNNNNNNNNNNNNNNNNNNNNNNNNNNGUGUACAUUUUUAUAUACAUGAUAAACAUUUCUCUAUACACAAUAAAAAAAUUCAAAUCCUUAGUCAACACUAUUCAAAUAUUUUUGUUGAAUGUUUUAAAUAUAUAUAAAAUUUAUAUAGUAUAAAGAGUUAUAAAAAUAAAGAAGAAAAGAACACAAAAAACAUUAAAAAAACAGCUUGUCUCAACAGUUAUGGCUGUACUUGAAGUUUGGUGAAGCAAUGAAGCCCGUUCUUACACAAUUUAUGUAAAUAACCAGCUUCCUCGGGUAGUAGAAGCAAUUUUCGAAACAAAAACAAAGUGUGUCAAUCAUUUACUAUACGGGCAAGUCCAUGGUGAGAGUGAAAAUGGCCGACAAGAUGAGGGGCAGUGUAGUUGAAUGGGAAACUAUUUUAGAAAUGGGAGACAUUAGAAAUUUGGGCAUGAGAAGGAUUGUACAAGCCUGUCUUGACCUUUUGCAGCGCUAGACUUAGCUCCAUAGAUACAGUAGAGCUUGUCUCAACAGUAGACCGGUAGAACUUUAGCCAAUCACACAAGCGAGGGCGUCGGACUUUCAGACGAUGGGUGGAACUUCGGCUUGACAUGCUGCAAUAUCAACCGGUCUUUUCUCUAGUCACUAUCCUGGCUGUUGUCAGUGUUCCUACCGCACGCGAAGGAGCUCAAAAUUGAUCGCAUUCCAACCUUAUCACGAUGUCUGGAUGCCCCGCCUUAGCAAGCUUUAUUCUUCUUCGGGGCGCCAACACAACGAUCCCUGGAUGCAUCGACAGUGGGACGGGGAUACCAUCUAUCUAUACCUCUAUAUCUAUAACGAUACCUACAGUUUGGAGCUUUGUUAGGAAUACAGUGAUAUCCUAAGACUCCGGAAAUUCAAGCAAAAUCUAGCCCAUGACUUUGUCAAGCAGAACAAGACUCCGGAUUUCAAAGGACAAUAUGAGAAACUGAAACAUGAUUGGCCAGAAUUUGUGAAGCAAAAGAAAUCGGAGCAGUUCAUUCAAAUAUCAAAAAGAAAUAAGGAAAAUGCGGCUAAGAAGGAGUACAAUCAUAUUAUGGGGCCAGGAGGGUAUCGCAUUUGGGUGCCUAGGUUGGAGAAGAUGGAGAACGAGCUGAGGGCGCGAGGAAUCCGUCCAGGUACGGAGGGAUGGGACCAAAGGGCCAAAAGCUGGUGGUACGGGCAUGGGGGAACGCUGAACCCGGAGACAGGGGAGUGUGUUUACCGGGGCAAAUUAAUUAAACCCACCCAAGCCCUUAUUGACGCAAUGAGGGAUGCUCAAGAGGGGAAGAUCAAGUUCAACAGAGAGAACGACGCGCUGACAAAAGCCCUCGGGAAUCCUGAACACGGAGGACGUGUACGAGGCAUGGGGAACAUUCCGUGGAAAAUAGGGUUCCCCCAGAACGAUGACCCGUACGGUUACAGAAGCCGUAAGAGAAAGAUGGAUCGGGAAGCAGAUGUUGUGGCGCGGUUGGCAUCGGAAAUGGAUGUGAUGAAGAAAACCGUGAGUGUACUAUUAGCCGAAAGAGAUGUAGCUCGGGCGCAGCAUGAAGAUCAUCCAGCGGAUCUCGGAAGCCAGCAGCGGAGAAGCAGCGUGGCUUCCACGGAGGCCCCACCAGCUGGUGCAGAUGCACCGACGAUCGAAAUUACUGCACCGGAGCCUCUGGUGGUCGAAAUUACUGCACCGGAGCCUGCUCGCUACCCCGUGGACGAUAUAAAGGAGAUGAAAGAAUGUCAUCUGUAUUAUCCUAUCGGGAACAUGUCCAUGAAGGUAGCCAUCGGCAGUGCUUUACCAUGUUUACCUGGAGCACUCCACCACAACAACCCCAUUCAAGAUGGCUAUGCUCGUGUCACGGUGGAGGACAUAGUCCAAGGGUUUGAGGACCUGGAGAUUGACAUUGCUACACCUGAAGGGGAGAAAAGACUUGGAGAUGUCAAGCGCCAUUUCAUUCUAUGGCAAAAGAAGUUUAUCAAGUUUCCAGGCGAGGCGCCAAGGACAACAAGUCCACCCCCCUACGGUGGUGGUGNNNNNNNNNNNNNNNNNNNNNNNNNNNNNNNNNACCUACACCUCCGUCACGUCAGCCGACGCCCCCCAGUCCACAACGUCCGGCGGGUGAUCAGACGCCGCCCCCCAGUCCUCGUCCGGCGGGUGAUCAGACGCCACCCCCCAAUCCACCUCCGGCAAAGAAGCAGAAGCAGUCCUGGAUUAUUAACCCGGACCCUUAUGUACCUAAGACCACAAAGGUACCGGAGCCAUCACUGAAGCCUCUCCCCACAAGGCCUUGGGAACGUAGUGCCGAGGAAACUGCCGCGAGGGCGGCUGCUGAUCAUGAGAAAUGGAAGGCGGACUGCAAGAAGAAAAGAGAGCCCGAGCCCAAGCCAGUAUUUUCUGAUGAGCAAAAGAAGUGGGCUAAGUCAUUUUUGAGCACACCGUCCCAAGCCGCGAAGAAUCUGCCUGACGACUAUGCACGUGAACUUCGUAGGCAGGCACUCAUGUUGAAGGAGAAGAAAGAGCGGGCGGAGAACCAGGAGAACAAAGCCUUGGAGGAGGCCGAGAAAACGGAAUUAGAAAGUAAAAAAAGCGGGAAACGAGUUGCCCAGCUCGGGGAACAAAGUAAACAAUCGAUUGCCCCGCUUAUAGUGAAAGCCGCCGGUCCGGAUGACCCCGAUAUCAUAGCAGCUGCGGCAGCACAUGGAUUGACUGUAACGAGUGCCAGAGAACAAGCGGCCAACUUAGGUAUUACUCUUCGUGAAAUGUUAGGCCUUGAUGAGGCGCCAGUGAAGGAGGUAGUAAUUACGUAUGUGAAGAAUGGGCCUCUCGUCGAGCCUGCGCAGGAAGAGGAUCUACCUCCACAAAUGAAAGGUCUGCUGAAAUGGUACAAGGGUUACAUAAAAAAUAAAAACACCAAAGAUUAUAUUUAUGCGGAAGUUAGAUAUGAGCAUCACUUCAAACAUUACUAUGUACAAAUUCAUCUGAGUGAAUUGUUCCAGCUUUUCAAUCUGCGCGAGCUCGACAAAUCUAUCAUCAGUUGCUACGUUCUGUAAGUGAUUUAUUUAUACCCCAUCUCGUUCAUAUUGCCUGCACUAUAUAUAUGUCGUAACUAUAUUGUUGUGUCCGCUAUUAUACAUGCAGAAUGAAGAUUAAGGAAUGCAGAGUAAGGAACAUCCAUGAUGUUGGGUUCAUUGACCCACACAUCGUUAAUGGAUAUGUGUUGGAGCAUCACCCCGCCGACAUGGAGGCAGACCUGUGGCAGUUUCUUACAAAGCAGGAACUCAAAAGUGAUAUUCUAUUUCCUUACCAUUUUGGGUGAGUGUUUCUGUCUUGAGCACAUUCUCUUUUGUUUACUCCAUGCAUGAUAUGUGGCCGGCUAAUCGAUGAGUUAUGCAUGACGUACUGUGCAUGUAUCGUGUCCGCAGGUUCCACUGGAUUCUGCUAGUAAUUAAAGUUGACACCUCAGAAUGUCUCGUCCACGACUCUCUGAAUAUGGAUCCAAAGCUUUGGGGCGGCAUGAGAAGAAUGCUGCAGAAGUAAUUAUUUUCAUUCAUUUGCGCUCUAUAUCGAUCGGCCUAUUUCGUUCAUUUCCUAAUAUCAAGUAACUAAUAACUCUCUUGUUCAUUUAAUUUUCUUUGCCUCGUAGGGUUUGGAGACGGUUCGUAGAUACAAAGGUCGGUGAAUUCAAAAAAGAGCUAGAAUUCAAAAGGUCAAAGGCUAAGAAUGGUGGGGAUAUUCAGCCAGCGGGGACCAAUCUAUGUGGAUACUAUGUCUGUGAGAUGAUCCGGAGAUACACCUCUGAGCGGGUUCCGAGUGAUACCAAUGCUCAGCGGAAUAACCUCCGGGUGAUGCUUAGUCCAGAAGCUCGCUUCCGACCACUUCAAGAGGAACUAGCUGGAUGGUUCAGGAGGGAAGUCCUCCAUCGUAAAGGAGAACACCAUUACGAGGACGUAGAACUUCAUAUGCAUUAAAUUAUGUAUGGAAACUUGUUCAAAAUUGUAUAUGGUCAUCCGAUGAUAUUGAAUAUAUAUUGUAUAUUCCUCUUGAAUUCUUUUUGGUUCUAAUUUCAAAUUUGUUUGAAAUUGUACAUUCAUAUGCAUGUAUGUAGUACCGUAGAAUAUGUGAAACUCCUUCAAAAUUAAAAUAAAGCACAAAAGAAAUAAAACAAUACAAAUUAAACAGAAAACAGGUUUAGGGGGGGGGGCUAAACCCUGUGGCGGCCUUUAGUCGCGGUUGGCCAGAAGAACCGCGACUAAAGGUCCUCCGCCCCGACGGCCGCGUGGUGCCCACGUGGACGGGCCUUUAGUUGCGGUUCUUAAGCAACCGCGACUAAAGGGGGGGGCCUUUAGUCGCGCCUAUUUGGUCGCGGUUGCGCAACCGCGACUAAUGGCAGUUGCGAACCGCGACCAAAGGCCCUUUUUCCACCAGUGAUAUCUUGCAACACGUGGAAGGCAAGGCGCUCCGGUGACACUUGCUGAGCUAAAUUGUUGAAGGCUCGAGCGUUCCGCUGCUUCCAGAUGGCCCAAGCCGCUCCCAAGAUGAGGGAGUCAAAACCCCUCCUGAUCCUGUCCGAGAAUCUCGUCCUACUAGUGAGCCACUAGUCUUUGAAUUUGGCACUGGUCGAUGGAAUGACAAUGUUAAUCUGGAGCAUCUCAAAACAUCUAUGCCACACUUCCCUUGCGUAAACACACUGAGCAAGAAUGUGAUCCACAUUGUCUUCGUCCUGUAAGCAUGAGAAUCAAGGCGAGGGCUCCUGUUGCAGGCCAUGCCUCGCCCUCCGAUCACUUAUCCAUAAGCGAUACUGCAUCAUGAGCCAAGCGAAUAUUUUGCAGCGAAGCGGAGCCCAACACCUCUAAACGGCAGUGGCAAACGGUGGUUCAAUCAUCCGUGAGCAGAGACGCUGGUACACCGAUUUGGCGGUGUAGAUCUGAUACGUCCAUUUUGCGUCAUGCUUUUAUGUUGAUAUUUAUCACUUUAUGGGCUGUUAUUACACUUCACGGUACAAUAAUUAUACAUUUUCUCUCUUAUUUUGCAAGGUUUGCAUGAAGAGGGAGAAUGCCGGCAGCUGGAAUUCUAGCCUAAAAAAUGAGCAAGUUUGAGAUACCUAUUCUGCGCAACUCCAAAAGCCGUGAAAAUCAACGAGGAUUUAUUUUGGAAUUUAUACUGGGCCGAAGAAGUACCAGAGGGGAGCCAGCA
rnacentral:lncRNA from 1 species